ACUGCCUUUCCAAUCCUGCACCGUGGAAAAACUGGGCGAAUCCCGUUUCUGACGCGACUAUGGGUCGUGCAGGAGGCCAACCGGCCCAUCUAAGGUGGACUUCUCACGCCACGGAGCAGCAAACACACAGCAACGAACACGCGAGCGCUUGCUCCCGCAUUAGCACCACACUGCUUACCGAACCUCUAGCAAACCAGCAUAAAGAGCCGCCCGUCAUCGCGCGCACCAGCCGAGCACCGUAGCGGGUGCCUGUUGCUCCAGCUUGGGAGGGCUAAAGAGUUGGUUGGAGGGCGAGUUUGCUCGAGCCCAUGUCAAUGCCGGCCCACCGAAAGGCAUGUGGUGCGCAGUCCCCGCCCGGACGUCAGAGAAAAAGGUGCCAGCGCGGCGCAGAGAAAAGAAGAAACAGAGCCCACAGCUGCUGUUGUUGUGAGGUGCUGCGGGUCCUGGGCCCGGCGCCAAGGUGCGCUGUCCGUCGUUGUUGGGUGCAGCCCUGUGUAGGCCACAAGGAGUUGUGAGCCGGGCUGACCUGUGUUGAAGAGGCCCGUUAGGAAGAACGGGUGCUCUUGUUGGGCCGUUGUCACUGCGAGGAGGCAGUCCGGCCGGUCGACGAGAAAAGCACUUGGGCCGUUGUUGAAGGAGGCAGACCAAGACCACAUCAGAGGUGUUGGUGGUGCGCGCGCGCGCACGUAGUUGGGCCAUCGCCGGAGGGGGAUAUUGCCCUCCGGCGGGUCGUCGCUGUGGUAAAAAGUUGUUCGAUGCUCUGGGGGGAUUCGUCGUGGGCUGCUGAAUAGGGGGUGUGGCAUUGGCCCGGGAGGCCGGCAAAUGCCGGCGGGUUAAUUGGGUCCGGGGGUUCGCCCCUCGGCCCGAAGCCCCUUGAUCUCGCCGAGCUGGGCUUCCACGGAGUUAGAGCGGCAAAGGGGUUGAGCCAACCCUCAGUCCGAGGGUUGUCGCCGGGCUGUGCGCGCCACACGCGCAGCCCGCUUCGUGGAGCGUGGGCUCGCAAACUAUAUCCCCUCCUACCAACUCUUUUGUUCUUCUGUUUUUUUUUUCUGAAAAGGAUAUAAUUCUGAACAGUGGCUUCUAUUUUCUUUGGUACUGCUUUGUACUGUAUGUGAAUUAGAUCACUAUUGGUUUACAAUAAACAAGUUAGUACUCCUUCAAAAGAGGCUGAUCAUUGCCGUUGAUGGGCCGGCCUCAUCAGCAAUAGCUGGCGGGGGUCCUGUGUUUGUUGGCCGUUGUGACAUGGUGCAUAACUAGUUUGUUGCAGUGCAAGUACGAACCAUGCGGACAGCCGAGAAGCGAGAGCUUCAUCAGGUGCCACUAGUGUCUGAUGGCAUUAAGGGGUUGGUGCGAUAAUCUCCCAUUUCACCAAGUUAGGUACGAUAAUGUCUCAUUUCACCAAGUUAAAUAAAAUAUAUAAAAUUUUAGCUAAGAAAUACACUUAUAACUGAAUUGACACUAGCUAAGCUAUGACAGUUGCAGGCAUUGGUAAGCUACCGUAGUUCUAUCGAGUCCUCUUCUCUGUUCAGCCUCCAAGCCACAUUUUUGGUCGUAUAUAUACAGUCAGUAUAUGUACUGUCAGUGCACAACAGCCAGUAGGCAGGUACAAAAAGAGCCGUGAGCGACAUGCCCACAAGAAGAUUAGCGAAAGCGCGCGCAGACUAAAUGCAUUCUCGCACUCUGUCUCUGCAAACCAAGCGCUCCGUUUUAGUCCCAUACCGCUAGUCACAUUCUGAGCAACCCAGCUUAAGAAGCCACACCUCCCCGGGGGCAGCCGCCGAGCUCGGUCGCGCGAGCCUGUCACUCUAGUCAGCUGGAGGGCUAAAGAGUUGGUGUGGUGAAAUGGCUCUGGCCCCGGCCCAAAAACGGGUUCGGCCUCUGCCUGGGUUGUGAGUUCUUGAGCCUAGGAAAUUGGCGAGGUCCAUCCGUCCUUUGAACGGUAGGGCAAAGCCGAAUCGUUGGACGCUUCGGCAUAAGAGAACGGUCGGCCCAACGGGGUUGCCGGAGCCCAAGCUGCGUCUCGUCAUGUGUCCAUCCGGGUGGUCAAGGGAGGCAACAACCCACUCCCUGAUCUUUCCCAUUAAGGUAAUCGGGACUCGCAUGGACACUCCCUGGCUCACUCACUAACCCCUCCCAUCAACUCUUUUCCUUUUCUUACUUUUGUCCUAACGUUCGAUGGCAGUUUUAUCAUUGAUAUAAUCGUUUUGGGCUAGGCCUAAAUUAAUCUGUCUGGAUGUUUUCAGAAAUGCACUGCUCUUUCAGGUUCAGUGCAACAAUCAGCAGUCUUGCAUGCUAUACUGUGUUGUAUAUUUAUCCUGUGCUACACUCACAUCUUUCGUUAGUUAAUUUAAGGUUUGCGAACUUCAAAGAUGAUUGCUCAAGGUAUAAAGCACAGAAUUUGAACUUUGUUCAGGUUCUGCCUUUUUGGUUUUCGAAACACACCUAAUAUUUACAUGCAUCUCUACAUAGAGAUGAUAGUUUUUAUUUUGUACCUGAAAUCACACAAAAAGGAAACAUAUAUUUUCCUGGGCACCCCAAAAAUAAAACCUUUAAUAUCCACUCAAAAAAAACAUGGUUCUUAGUCUAAGGCUACACCUGCUGAUUAUCCAGAUAGUUGGAUUUUGUAUAGUUGUUAUGAAUCACGACUUGAUCAUUAUAAUCCGCGCGCACUGAUACACUUCUUUUUAAACCUCUAAGGUCAGUCUCAGUGGAAGUUUCAUCUGAGUUUCAUUCACAUUAAAUAGGUUGCCACAUAUGCAUUUUCGAUGGCAUGCAGUGUAUUUAAGAAGAGAGAAGAAAUGAGUUUCAUCUAGAUGAACACGAUUAUCUUCUCUAUGAGUCUUGAAUAUGAAACCAUAGAAUGAAACUCUCCAUUGAGAGUGGGUAUUUCAUCCAAGUUUCAUUUCAUUUCACAUAACAUGGCAAUCUUGGAAAUAACACUAUGAAACUCUUCACUGAGAUUGGCCUAAUAUAUUUCAGUAUCCUAUGACUUUUCUUAUGUAGGGCCUGUUUAGUUUCUCAUUUGGGCCAAAAAAAUUAUAUUUUGGUCCACCAUUAUGCUGAAUGGAACUAAACAACAUCCAAAUUUUUUGGCAAAAUGAUUUUACCAUUUUGCAUUCUAGAUUUUAGCCUCGAAAGCCCUCCAAAAAAAAGCCAAAAUAGCAGCUUAAUGUAUUUUAGACCCUGAAAAUUUUGAUAUUUUGGAUGAAGCUAAACAUACACAUGAAAAAAUUGACAUUUUGCAUUUCAUCAUUUCAAAAUACUUGGUAUUUUGUAUUUUGCAUUUCAUGAGGAACUAAACACACCCAUAUUGUGGUUUCCUUUACCUAAAGUAUUGUUCAGAUGCUAACAUACAGUAGUUGUGGGGCAUUCCCACCACCAAGAUUUUACUCAACAGUGUAAUGCUUACCAGUUACCAGAAACACAAACAGAACGGAGGACAUGAGACGGAAAACAACGAUUCAGAAAACUAGGCUACACGAUGCAGUACAUGGUUGUAUGUUACUGUCCUUGUUAGCUAACAUAUAUACCUAUCCAAUCUGCGCUUUGCAAGUUGAACAGCGGUAGUGUACUCAUUGAUACUGCGGUGCCAUCUAGUUCUUGCCUGCUCAAGGCGUGGUCUGUGGUAUAGGAUCCUGGUCAGUGUGAAAUCCAGCUUAGCUGGACCAUAUCUUGGUUUGUCCUCCGCAUCUCACAGUUAUUCCUUUUUGCUUUUCUUACUGGACUUAGUAAAGUUUGACAAGCAGGUGAUUGCUAGAAGCACCACAGCAACGGCAAAAACUGCAGGGAAAAAAAAUAGGGGAAUUACGAAGAUAUCCAAAGGUCCAACGCAAAACAUCUACAAGGGGGAGGAGCAACAAUGUAGAUUUAUAUAUAUGGUUAGAAUGAUUGAGAUGGAUGUGAGUAGCAUACCAGCUAUGGUGACAAAUAACAUCAGAGCAAGCCGGUAUCGUAUUAGCCAUGGGAGCUCUGUUUCGAGAGUACAGUGACGUUGGAAUGUAUGUGGUUGUCUUUUGAUUGCGUGCACACCCGAGGGCUGCAGUUCAGAUAUAGGGAACUCUACACUGUGAACAGAACGACCCUCAACAUCUUUUAGUUCAAGUUUAAUCCGGGGAGGUACAGCAUUCCAAUCAAUUUCAAUUGCUCCGAAAUUUGGUAGGCCUGCAACAGCAAAACACAAAUGAUUUAACAGUACAAGUAUAACCAAAACUUCGCUAAAAAAAAGUAUAACCAAAAAAGAACACAGAAGGAAAUAAGAUAAGCAUAGAGAAAUCUUAGCAAUGCCUUAAGAUGUCGUAUGAUCACAUUUUACAGUAUAAAUGAACCGCAUUUUUUUGGAGAGUUUUAAUUUUGUCCAGAAUCAACAGCUUACUGGUUCAAAAAGAACAGAAAGGACCUCUUGAUCUUAAAAAACUAAGAAAUUCAGUAAACCAAAACAAGCUAUCCGACACUGAUGGAUUCAUACUUAAAAGGUUCUACCCAAGAAAGAGUUGUACCUGUUGUGCAUGAUUUAUACAGGCAAUUUGGGCUCAAAACUCGCAUGGUAGUUGGUGUUAGUACUGCUAGAAGUCUCAUAAGAGGUUGAAAUACUUCUGGCACAGCGUUGUCGACAGACUGGGUAAGACCACUCGAAGUAACAUCGUACGACGGGUAUUGAGCUCCACAGUCGAAUCUGGUGAUUUCUCCGAAAUGGACAUCCCCACUAAUAAAUAUCACUCCAGGUCUCUGCAAAUAGUCACACAGUCCAUAGAUGUUUCAUAAGAGUAAUGAACACAUAAACAUCUGGUAUCAUGGUAUCUUCUAGAAGACUCAGGAUUCCUCAAAAGUUAAUUGAAGGAGAUAUGCUAGCAACUAGUGCAUUUUAUUAUUUACGGAAACGCUUAGACCCUGAAUAAUAGCUUGUCCACAGGAGUAAUAGUAACCAACCUUACUACUAUCAAUCAAUCUGAACAGCCUUUCUCUCUCCCUUGGGAAGCGUGCCCAGGACUCCACAUAGAACAAAGGCCCAAUAGUAGCUGAAAGAUUAGACACUACCUGUACAUUGGAACAUAGCUAUUAUACAAAUGGAAGUUACAAUGCAUAUAGCAUAUAAAAAAAUGAAAGAAAAUGCAAUUGCUUAUUAUAGUGAAAGCAUUAAGACAUAAAAUAUAGAGUGAUGAAUCAGUAGGAUAUUCUCUGCCCAUUGAAGAGCUGCCAAAUAGGUGAAUGUAUUAUUCAAAUUCCGUUACCAAAUACAAUCACAUGUAUCAUCUGUUUUAUUUGAGGGAAAAACAGCCUACCAAAUAAUACCAGAUAUUUUAUACUAUCACUAAAUAAAACUUCUGGUAAGGUGCAUUUCCGUAUACAGAUCUCUGACAUUGUAAAAGUUUGUGAAGUUUUUUCAAAACUUCUAUGCAGCCCAUUAGUGGGAAACUAAGGUGGCUUUUGCUGUGAAAACUUGUGGUAUAUGAUUUCUACCUGACCAUCUUUGGUUCCUGGCUAGAUUAGUUUUUGAUUUUUUGAAGUACAGUUUUUUAAGUUUUCAACAAGUAUAUAUAUACGUGGUUACUUCUCCAAGUAUAUAUAUACGUGAAAUAAUAGGUUUACCUGGAUCGAAGAUCCAAUGAUGGUGAUCUCUGAUUGAGGACCAUGAAGCUCCCUCUCUAGCCACUGCCACUGGGGAUCUCCCAGAAUAGUUCCAUCACUUAAUAGCGGGUCUCUGUGAUAUCUGGUAUCCAGCAAGAUUACCUGCAAUACAUUGCUGUUACCUUUAAUUCAAAAUUGAUAAUAAAAUACAAUUUACUACAGAAGGGGCAAAGGCACUAGUUCAUAUUUCUUUUUAUUUAGCCCGGAUGGAUGACCAUUCUAGACCUUAUACCAGCUUUAUGCCCAGUACCACCUGUGGAUACUUGCAACGGCUACUGGGAUGAUGAUUUACAUUGAUUGGGACAUGCAAAGAUGUAACAUAUGUGUAUGUUGUAGGGAUGUACUAAACUUAAUAGGGCAAUAUCCGAUGUAAAUUGGAUAAAUAUCAAAUAUCCAUAAAAAUUAAAGAUGUAACAUAUGCGUAUGUUGCGAUGUACUAAACUUAAUAGGCCAAUAUCUGGUGUAAAUUGGAUAAAUAUCAAAUAUCCAUAAAAUUUUUAUGUGAAGUUCUCAAAGUUUACAUAUAUAAGAGGAGAACAUGCUCUAUAUCACUCAAAAAUUUGAACCUAAGGCUACCAGAUAUCAAAGGGGGAAACAGUAUAGCAAUGUGUCGCACUGUUCAUAACUGUUUUUUGGUUUACAAGAAAUAUGCAUUUUUUGUCUUUGUAUCCUGCAAACAUAAUUGACCUUGAUCUUUAAUUUUGCCCAUUAUCUAUUGUUGAACACACACUUUCCUAUUGUUUUUAUCUUGAGAAUCUCUAAAAUACAAAGCAAUGAAUGGAUUCAAAUUCACAAAGUAGCAAGUUAUUGAGAACUUGGACAUCAUUAAAUACAAAGGAUCAAUUGCUGUGAAAAUUUUGCAUUCAAUGAACAAAUAACGAAGCCAAAACAGAGCUAAGGAUAAUCAGAAGAGAUACAUGAUCCAUUUUGUGAAUUUGUUUUGAAGGAAAUUUUACUAGACUCAUAAUAAUGAAAAAAAAAGGAGAACAUAGCAAAGACUUAAAGAAUCACUGCAUCAUGAGUACGAUGAUGUGUUAUAUCACCCUAUUUGAAAAAGAAAUUAGAUAAACCUUCUCUAGUUAACAGCAAAAUUGAACAUAACAUAAGAGAGACUAAACCUUCACACGUUUUCCUUCAGGGCCAAACAUGUACGAGGCAUAAACACCAGCUUGCUUCCUCCUAAACAAACAACAAUAGAGUAUUAAAUUAUCAGGCAGGGAGAUUUCUUCCCUUGUUGACCGUUAAAAAAUGAAUAAGAUUAUUAUGAGACAUCUGCGGGAGUAUGUCUGUAUGUAUGCAGAUCCUGAAACUCAAACAGAAAUGUCUGGUCACAUCCUGGAAGAAGACUUUAAUGUUACUGUGACCACAAAAGUAACAAGGAAAUAACAUUAGAGCGACAAUGGCAAUAAUAUUUUAUCCUAACAUAAACUCCAAUAAAGAAAUAAACUACAAACAAAUGAAAAAUGGAAGAAAUUUACCAGAAAGUUGAUACAGCUAUUGAACUGGAGUAUAUAUGUUAUUACAGAACAGAACAAGAGCAGAGAUUUAAGGAACAUGAAAGGAUAUAAGAAAAUUAAACAGAUGUUUGAGUGUCCAAGUUUAAAAAUGAAUUCCCCAAGUAAUGUGGUGUUGAUGAAAUGCAGUAUCUCCAGUGAAGGAUGCUGUUUUGUAAUGAGGAAAAAUAGGUAGUGGGUUGGGUGUGGACACAAGUAUGUGAGACAGGUUGUAGGACAAUGCUUUAAAGAAAACAAAUCACUUGCCAAUGUACUCGUUUUGAAUUGAAUUAACAAACAAUAACUACACAGCAUAAAAAUGAAAAAAAAAAAAGAUUAACUCCAGUGCUUCUAAGUGCAUACCGUUUACUGUCUUCAGGUUCAUCCAAGAAAUCUAAGAGAAGCCUUUGAGUAAUCACUUUCCGAUUAAACUCUUUUCCUGCAUCAUUCAAUCCAUAAUCAUGGUCAUCCCAUGUUCCAAUAACCUGCAAUUAGUGAAUUUCAGUAGUGACACCACACCAGUUUCUCAUCUUUCAGAAGAGGAAAGAAGAAGCAGUGUUGAAAACUGUCAAUAAACUGUAAUAAACGAAGAGACAAAGAUGACACCCUAGCCCACAAAUGGAGAUUAAAAGUCUAUCCAAAAUGCUUUCUUCUCUGCCAUAGAACCAACUCGGGAGUGGGGACUGGGGUGUGGAGUGCCAUAGAACCAAUCCAUAUAUUCGAUUUUAUGUACGUUUGUCAUUAUUGUAAUGCUGUAUCAUCAGCAUAUCCAUGCUACAUCUUAUUGUAGUAUCAAUCAAUAUAACCCUCAAAUCCCAUGAGGCCAUGACACGAAAGCUGACAAAGCAAUUAGUCAGGAGCAGCUGCGAUCGUCCAUGAGGGGAAGAAAGCAAAGGAGGCCAGGCCUGACCUGAGCGGUCUCCCUGAGCCUGGCGUACCCGGGCUGCGCCCUGGCGAGCUGGUACCGCCUCCGCAGCUCCUUCUCGGUGGAAGGGUAGAAGCGCGGCGCGUUCUUCCAGGGCCCCACGGUGCGCUCCUUUCCGAAGACCCGGAAUGGGCGCUUGUUGUCGCCGUAGACGUUGUCCCCGAGCCAGACGAACACCUGCGGGUCGAACCCCACGACGGCGUCCCAAAUGGGCUGCACGAAAGUACGAAACAAUCCCCGUCACAACGAAUUGAUCGAAAUGGGAAUGGGAUGCGCGGGCAUGGCGCCGGCGUGGGGCGUUCCGUCGACCACCUGGGGCUCGCUCUGGUUGGCACAGGAUCCGAAGGCGAUCCUGGACACCACGGCGUCGGGGUCGGCGCGGGCGGAUGAGGACAGGAUUAUCAGGAGGAGGAGGGAGAGGAGAGGGAAGGUGGCCGCCAUUGCGGGUAGGGAGAGCGACGUACGAGCAAGCGAGCACACGGCAGGCAGCGGGCGAGACGAGACGAGACGGCGAGGAGGAAUUCUCAAUUGCGGGAGGUUGGCAGGAGAGAGGUCAGAGGUGGGAUGGAUAUCCCAAUUUCCAAGGCGCCGGAUCCCAGGCAGGAGAGGCCGAGCCGAGGGAGAGGUGGACGUGUGGUGGUGGGGGCGAUGCCGAUGGCGAUGGCAGGCGCAGACGCACGCUCUAGAAGAGAGAGCGAGGAAGAAAAGCUGGAAGCUCCUUGUUUGUUUGGCCUCACUUUUUCACCAGUUUCGUUUUAAACUAAUUAUAUAUAUAUAUAUAUUAAUUAAUGCGGUGGAAUUGUGUGGAAAACUACGUGCGGUGGUGUUGCUCCUCUUCUAACCAUUCCUUGGUCAACAAACCACGCGACACGCCGUGAUGAUGUUUCUAGAUAGAGACAACAACAUGCAGGGAUUUGCAAAUGUACCUAUAUAUGCUGUUGCUAGCAAUUCGGGAUUUGGAAAUCGUGUGGUUCGUCAAGAACAAAAGACAAGGGGAUUGCAAAUCCUGCUUCAUUGUGAAUUGAUGAUCAUGUCUUUGCUUGCCUUACGACCUGUUGCGAGAAGGAGAGACUUGGUUGGGACGAAACUGCAGCAGCCUUUCCGGCAUUUGCAAAGGAUGGGAGCCAAAAAGGCGUGAUCCGGAGUGAAAAGGGCUGCCAACUUGCUCUGCCUAAUUUACGUUUCGCCUUUUGCUUGGGAACUUUGCCACAUGUGCUAGCAAGUUUGCCGCAAACUGCGAAAGGCAUCACGUAACGUUGCUGUUCAAACUGAAGUUUCCAUUUCGAGCUCGAAUAUUUCCAGAGCUGUCACGUCUGUGUUAAGCAGAGAUAAGCUAUCUUUUGCAGGGGAUCAGAACAGUACUCAUUCACUACCAUUGCAAUUAACAUGAGAGAACCUACCUCGGCACGUGGAGCGCUGAGCUUCAGCACGAAGCAAAUUAUCAGACUUUAAUACUUUAUGAACGCUGCAAAACCAGCCUGAGGCAUCUGAUUCCAACAAAUACAUAGCAGCUACAUGCUACUCGUAUUUUCUACCAAACAUUCCAGACCACAAGUGCUAACACAAACAGAUAGAAGAGUCAUGAAAGAAACUAUCCAGAUUCGGCCAGGUUGCCAAGCUGCAAGCCUGCAACUCCAUACAGCAAAGAGCCUGUUACAUAGAGUCAGGGCUCAGGAACAUAAUACAUGGUCAACGAAGUACCUACAUUACAUGUCAUCUAGUCUAGAUUCCAACAACAUAUUACAGCAAUUGUGUUGCAUCAGUUUAUGUUUCCCCAGAUGGCCUGCCCCGAGGUCACUUUGUUGCUUGGCCUUGCUGUCAAUUCAUAUAGGAUCCGAGCAAAUGUGUCCGAGUAUUUCCCUUCUGAUGUCAGGAUCUCAGCAAAAGUGUUCUCAUGCACAAGGAGAUGCAUCCUGUUUUGAGGCUCAGAGACAAGGCUCUCCAGUAUCAUCGACGUCUUCCUGCAGACCUCAGGCACCGGAUGCGGCGUCUUCACGAUCUUUAGGAGUCUAUCGACAGCCCUGGUUCAAUUGACAUCGAAAUGGUAAAUUUUACAGACUGUAAUGCCCCUUCUCUGAUAUUAGGAUGCUUUGUCUAAUUGUAUGAAGUAGACAUUUACCAUCGCUCACUGGCAAGCUUGAGCCUGCAAUCCAUAUUCACUUCGGCUACAUUGUAGAGUGCACUAACAGCAGCAGCCUGUGCAUCAUAUGCUGGUACACUCAAUAGGUCAACUAGUCGUUUGUAUAUCUGCAUCAAGUAAACCAAUGUAAGUACGACACCUAAAGAGCUGAGAAACAGAUAGCUUUAUUCAAAUCCAUCUGCAUACCAUAAUGGUACAACAGUAAAUACUACUAAAUGCAAAGAGUGAUCCAAAUUCCAAAAAUACAUUUACCUGUGGAAUGACAGGAAGAAGAAAUGGCUCAUUGUCUGGAUUUAUUAUCAGACGGCCAAUCAAUUCAGCAGCGGCACAGUGCCAUGGCUUCACGGAAGAAGAAAGCAUACCCAUUAUGGCAUGAACUGCACCUUUCUCACUAUCUUGGCAAAGAGCAGGCAAAUGAGUAAACCUCAAGAUAGAAAUGAAUCGGUAAAGAAUAAUGCACUUCUAGACUCAUCUUACGUCAUUUUAAUGAACGAUGGCUUUGAUGAGCUGAAGAUCCUCAGGUCCAACACAGGUGCUAAAUUGACAAGGGUCUCCACCAUGUUUGUUAUGAGCUCGUCAUCUUCUGUUCAAUGACAAAUACCAGUACAACUUGAGUUCUCAAUUAUGUAUUAAAGUCUGUCGGAAAAAAUAGCUGGAGAUAUGUCACAUAGCCCCAGGAUAAAUAGCUCACUCAAGUUACAGCAGAUAGUCGAAUAGGAGUACAAACAUACCAAAAAAACAUAUAACUUUCACAUCAUCAAUAUUUUGCAGAGUUAGACCAAACACAAAGUUAAAAUAGGAACCAUAAAUAGCCAGUUUCUUUGCCAAGCUUGUGGAGAACUGAGCAAUAGCUCGGUUGCAGAGCCUCCUGCCUGGCAGACUGGCACCUUAAGACAAAGCCAAGGGAAAGUCACCCCGUGGGGAUUUUUCGCAGAUUAAUAAACAACCUAGAUGGAGCAUAUGCAGGUAAUAAUUGGACAAAACAUAAACUGCAGAAAACUUGAAGAGCCAAACACAUUCACAUAGCCUCAUUUGAUCAUCACCAAGUUAACCUAUAAACCAAAAAAACAAAGACACAGGACUAUUUCAAUAUUUACCUCUAUUCUGGUCCUCUAAGCAAUGAAAUAUUGACUCCAAGCAAUGCCUAUGUUGAACCAUGAUAAUCUCAUUUUCUGGCAUAAAAGAGAAAUUGCGGAUUAUAUUGGAGGCUGCAAUAGCGCACUGCUGCCUUUCUGCCCUCCCUUCAUCAUCAUUGUUAAACAAGCCAUCCUCAUCAAACCAAAAGCUUGCAGCGCGCUUCUUCGUGACACUGGAGUCUUCCGUCUUUGAUUGAUCAUUAUUAGAGGUACUGUAAUUAACACAUUUUAUAGAGCAUAAGUAUGGCAGCAAGUGCCAUGGAUACUGAGAUGAGUUGUCAGGAUCUUGGUAAGACUAGUAACAACAUACGUGGCAGUGUCAGAGUAGACUUUUUCCAUGUUCUCCUGGCCAAAGCCCGAGAGUGUUGUGUUGGCACCCAAAGUUCUUACUCUGGGUGGUUUCAGAUGGUCCUUAGGCAUUGAAAUAUCUCUCCAUUCAUCAAUCUGCACAAAAUAUCAAAGCAUAAGACAGAAUGCAAAAGAAAAAUGAUGGUAGCUUCUUUUAGAGGAGAUACCCUGGCACAUUAGUAUGUUAUUACUUAGCUAGAAUUUAAUUUGGUAUAAGAAACAUAUGAAUAAGAUGAGAUGAGAAAGUGCUUGGGUGACCCAGUAAUAAUUGGACCUCUUCUGACUUUAUUAGGAAGAAGCUUAUUGUUAGCUAUCAACAAGACAGACUCUUCCACAGUUAAAUCUAUCUGACGCAUUCCCUCUUUCUCUCCCUCUCUCAUCUCCAUGUAAAUGAUGUGACUGCCACAUGACAAAAAAAAAUGUUGUCGCUACAAAAUCACCAAAAAAUACCUAAACUCGUCCGAGGGCAUGGUUUACACCUGUUUUAUAUGAUUCUGGACAAAAAAGGGUGAACCCUUGUAGGAUAUGGGGAGAACUCUAGGCAGCCUUAUCUUUGAUCUCUUUUUUUUGCAACAUGUAGGAUAAAAUUUAGAACAAGUGAAGGUUUGGGAUUUGGGAAUCAUUAGAUGACCUUUUUUCCUUUGUAUUAUGGCUACAAACCUACAGUGGGCAAUGGUGCAUUGGUGCCAUAUCAUAGUAUGCAUGAGGUCAUUACCACUUUCUUCAAUGUUUCAUGUUGAACGGUGAUGCUAACUUGAUUAAAUCUAGUUCAAAUGCAUCCUAAUGCAAAUAAAACUAGCACUCAUUAACUCCUUAGCCAGACAGGACAAAGAUUAUGACAAAAAAAUUAAAAAAGGAAAUUGCAUGGUUUAGUAAAAGAUACAUCAAACUGGAAAGUAAAAAGGGAGACAUACAACUUGAAGAAGAGCAUCUAGGAGCCCAGGAACUUUAGCAAGAGGUGUUGUAUCACGUCGUUGGUCGUCUUUCUCCUUAAAUGAGAGUACUGUAAGGGCAUUCAGUGCCCACAGUAUCUCUGACUUCAACCCACUUUGCAAUGCAAGGACAAUUCUUUUGUUGUUCUGAUCUGUCAAAUAGCCAAUCCUGGAAACCGUUAUUACAAUAUGAUUACUUGUGCAGUUUAAGCACAUGAUGAAGAACAUGAGAUAUCAUCUCUAACAAACGGGAUAAAACAAGAGGACAAUAUAGACUCUAUGCAUCUUAAAUAUAGAGAGCAGGAUCACAAAAGAAGGUGGUCAUAAUUGUAGCAUGCCAUGAUUUGUCAGCUGUACAGAAUAGCUGUUUCCAUGGGAAAAUAAAAACAUGUACACACAUUAUAAAUCUGUAUAGUAAAAGUGCUUGGCUGCUUGCACCUACAUACACUUUCAAGCAAGGAUAUGUGCACAAGUAUAAAAAUAUCUAAGUCCAAUCUUAGUCAUCACAUAGAAACUCAGCUCUCAUUGAUAGGGCUCCAAUUCACAGCACCACACCAGAUAUGGAAUUUGUCAACCAAAUUAAAGUGGUUUAGAUAUUUAUAUUUACUCUAGAAUAGAAACACGAUGAUACAAUACAACCAAGUAGUCUCAGUGUAUUCCAGUUCCAGUUUCAUGUAUUUUAGAGCAAGGAAUACCCAACCUCAACAACUCCUGGAGCUGGAGCUGUGCCAUAAAGGUUUGGCAGCCAUGCAACAGAAAUCAUUACAGCUAACUUGGCUUGCAACACAAUUCAAACUGGAAAUGAAGCAUAUUACAAACUUCUAAGAAUAAAAAAGAAAUGGAACUGAAAAAAAAAAAGUCUAAACUGGAUAUUAAGGCCAGAUUCAAAGUCGUUUGGAACUCUAUAACCUAAUCCAGGCCUGAAUUAUGUGUCUAAGUAUUGGAGGUGGAGCAGUGGUCUGAAAGAUAGCCCGUUAGUGUUCUAUUGUAUCACACUGAUUUGAUAAAGGGUUCAGUUGUGGGGUCAAACUUUUAUCAUUAUGUGCAAACUUUGCUACUCUGCGGACUGUUUCAAGAGUAUGAGCUGGGAUCUGAAGGGAGCAGAAAGUUAAGCUAAAUUAAAUGGUAAAUGCACUGUUUUAGUUUGCAUGACUGUGAUGGUUAAGAUUUUAUUUGACAGUCUACACAAUAACACAACGGUUUUGCAGUAAUACCUCAGCAUAGUGGCUUUGCCAACAUAAGACAACAUGACAAUGAUGUUGUUUCUGAGAAAACAACAAACCACAACAAACUGACCCCAGAUCCCCCCAUAAAACGUGCACUCAGAUGCGAAAAUCUUGGACCCCAACGCAUUAUGCCUCCAAUGUCAAUACCAAGCACAUAAAAAUUAAACUGACGUCUCCAGCUCCAGCUGAAAGAGAGGAUUAUUCAAAGUCUAAAGCCCCCAAUUUGCAUCUGACAACUCUACCCUAAGGAACAGAGGCAAGAGCAAUAAUUCAGAGUACCUACCAACACCCCAGUUCAUCAGUCUCCAUGCCCUAGAAACCCAUAUAGGCUCAGAUGAACUGCAGAAGCAGACGAAUGGGCGAAUUACCUGACAGGGCUGAUAGGACUUGGAGGGACGGCCCAACCAGCGCGGCGGACGCACCCGGGUCGACGACCGCAGCCGCCGCGGCAGCGGCCGCGGCUCCGCCGCCGGUGGUGCUCCCGAACGGGCGGCCGCGCUUCGCCGGCGUGCCUCCACCGGUCCCACCAGACUUGCCUGACUGCUUCUGCAUAGCUAGGGUUUUGGAGCUCGGAGCUUGGAGGCGGAGUGAUCGAAAACGUCGUGGUCGGAGCUCGGAAUUGGGUGGGCAGUUGGGCACUGGCGCACCGCGACGGAGGCAGACAAGGGUGGCCGCAGGAUCUUUACUCGGAUGGUGGAGAUUGAACGGACUGCUUGCCGUUGCUCUACAGAUCUGGCUAUUCAGGUCGGCCCGAUGGCAGUCCCAACUCCAAACCUAAAGUCUGUUUUUUUCCUUAAUAGGUAAAUGUCCGUGCGUUGCUACGGGAAUCUUAAAAUUUUCAAUACAAUUUAACACAAUAAAAGUAGAAAAAAAUAGCAGGUUAAGAGCUUAAAUUUUCAACACAAUAAGAGUAUCAAAAAGUAGUAGAUCAAAAUAAAGACAAAUAAUUUUUUAACUUGCUUGGCAACAUAAUGUUUUGAUCCACAUUUAAAUAAAUAAAUGUCAAAUUUAUUAACAAUAUCAAAAUAAGCGUAUGAUAGAUAAAUCCUCCACUCUCUUUCAUUGUCUUAUCCCCGUUAUGCAGGUAAGAUAUUCUCGUAUGAAUAGAGGACUAACGCGCCACUGUGAAUUCCCAUCAUAUGCCAAUGCCCGUAUAUUGCUAUGGGUGAAAUCUUAUAUUAAUUCAGUUUAUUGCUCCAAUAAAAAAUUUUCAAAAAGAUGUUGACGUCAAUAAUGAAGAUAAAGCGAUAUAUGAUUUAUUUUUGCAUCACCGGUAUAAGUGGAAAUGAAAUAUUAAUCAAACUUAACUAUACAAGGCAUGCAUAUCAACAAAAUGCAGCAUUGUUGAAAUGCGCGUACGUUUGCAACGGGGAGAUAUAAUGCUAUGAUAAUAUGAAUAUGAAUGUGUGUUGUAUUGUUAUCAGAAAAAAAUAAUACUUCGAGCAUGACGGUUCUCGGAAGUUUGGAGUUCAAAGGGCAAUAAUACAAUAUACAACUCAACACCGGUAUCACAAUGCUCAACUCAAACAACAACAGAGUGAACCGAGAAGGAAAUAUUGUAAUUUAACACAAAGGAUAAUGGUGCAUGCAGUGAAAGUCUCCCGUCUCCUCCACGGUUGAGUCCUAACCCUUGCAAGUUGCAAGUGGUAAUACUCCCAUGCAGUCUUCAAAGUAUCAAUUGCCUUUAUAAUCCCACAUCCAACCUUGAUUAUGUCACUACCCUAUAGUUUAUCAUCUGAACUGCAAAUCCAAGAUGCAAGUGACAUGGUGUAUCAGAUAAUACAAAGGUUAUAGAAAAAAAAUAAUAGCUCAAAUCCUUUUGAGCGCUAAAGGCAAGAGAACCUACAACUGAACCAUAAAUCAAAAUUUGGACAUAAGAGAUGGUAGCAAAAAUCCUGAAUAUGCCAGAGAUGCUGUGCAACAAGAUUCUAAUUUUAUUAUGAAAAUGGUGAAUAGUACGAAAUGCAGUAAAUGCUGGAGACAAGCAGCUAACCCCUACUGCUAUUGCCGGAUCUGUUGAUAGUUGGUUACUGAAAUUCAGAGAAAGCGAAAGCUUACUAUAGCAUGUCCAACAACGGUCGGAUGCACCUGGAAACCUCCCCCAUUAGACAUGCUGAAAAUCAACGUAGAUGGUGCUUUUGCCCAAGCUAACAGAAAGGGGGCUAGGGCUUCAUAUAAUGUUAUGAUCAUACAAGUGAUGGUGUUCUAGCAGGUGCAGGCAAUGUAUCGGCUCAUCAAGGCAAGGACUUAGUAUUGGUUCAUCACACAGUUUUGCAGUGAAGUGAGUCACUGCUUCUAAUAGCUUGUCAUGCUCUAAUCUGAAUUUUCUCUCUAAGCAAAUGUUUUUCUCUGAAACUUAUCUCAAAACAAAGGUCUGAAGAUCCAAUUUUCUCCCUAGAAUCUAAAUAACGUCCAUUCACAUUCUUUCAUAACUAUAUUAGGACUUGUUGUUUAUCUGAUGAAACUAAAAAUUCUGAACAUUGUCCAGUAACCCAAAACAAUGGAUCAAUUUCAGUACAUGUAGUUUAUCUGCUAAUUAAUUCAACAAUUCAAUAUGAGAUGAGAUCCGUCAUGCUGGAGCUUGGUGUAGUGUAGUGUAGGCAGAGAGAUAGAUUCAUAUGAGAUGAGAUCGAUAAGUACUCCAAGUUCAAGAUAGGAUGAUUAUUAGUCAGUAUACAUACCACAGGCUCAUAGCUUAAACGCAGGCGCACCAACCUUUCGAUGUGAGGGCGAGGCUCCAGCUGCAGUUGCAGCUUCAGGUUCAGGUUCAGGUUCAGGUAGGGAGAAACCCAUGGCAGCGGCAGCUGCGCGCACCGGCACCAGCCUUUCCACAGCUUUCCUUUCUUUUCGGCUGUUGCUGCCACCGUGGAGGGUCCACCUCCCGUUACUUUCUCCUCCCUCCCAUUCAUUAUUACCAACCAACUAACCCAUCACCCAUCAUGAGGAUUGACGAUUGAGGAAGAGGAAACAUCUCGCACAGCACAGCACAGCACAACAGUAGAAUACGGCAAAUCUGCAUCUCCGGCUCCAAGCUUGUGUUUCUCCUGCUGCUUUGCGCCAUGGUGCUGCCGACAGGCAUAUCCUCUGCAAAGAUCCAUGGUAAAAUCAAUCAAUAUCGAAUCUCAGAGUCCUACUUGGUUGUGCUCAAAUUGAUUUGCCAGCGCUUGUGCUUUGUGCUUGCUCAAAUUGAUGGCGAUGGCGGUCGUGGCAAGGAACCCAACCAACAACCUUGUGGCCCUCAUCAACGGCAGGAGGGCGGUGAGCAAGCUGCCUGCGCUGUGCAACAGCAGGGGCCUCGGGUGCAUGACGCUGCAGUACAUCUCCGAGUGCAUGUCCACGGGCCCGCCGCCGCCUGCAGCAGCGGCAACAGCAACACGGUGGUGUGCCAGCCUCCCGAGACACACAUCACGGAGGUCUUCGCCGCCAACUGCGGCGUGGAGCUCCCCACGGUGGACGUCAUCUCCGGCUGCCACAAGGACCGCGAUGGACCGGAGGAUGCGCUGCAGGCCGUGCUGGCAGCAGCCACCGGCAACAGCAGCACCAAUGCCACCCAGGCAGCCGCGCUGGCGGUGAUCCGCGGCAAGGAGCACACCCAGGUGGGCGCCGGCUUCGAUCGGGCGCACCGCCGCAGACCCUUCUUCUGGUGCCUCUUCUUCAGCAGCGGCAGCGCCAACUCCACCUUCCUGCUUCAGCGCUCCAGAUCGACCCUCGUGCAACGCCGCGCCGCCGCGCGCCGGACACCUCGCAGUCACGCACAGAGAAGGGGAGUGGGCGAUGGGUGAGAGGAAGCUAGACACAGAUAGCCGGCUCACUAUUGUUGGGCGAGGGAGAGUUGAGAAGGAGGUUGGAGCGAGGGAGAGCUGGGGAGUCGCGCCGUUGAGUCCUGGAGGGAGACGCGGGGAGUCAGGUGCGGGGACGGGGCGGGGCGAGGCGAAGGAGCGUUGUGGACGAUUGCUUUUGCUAUGUAUUAGUUGUAGAGAUUUGAUAAAUUUUAACUUCAAUUGGCUAAUAACUCAUAGCUGAAAGUACUCUUUACUGAUUUGUUAUGAGAGAAAAACACUAUUGAAUAGCUGGCAGAUUCGGCAGAUAAGCUUAAGCGAACAGACUUGAGUCGAUAGUCGUGCAUUUUUAGCAAUUUUGCAAACUUGUAGUCUUCUUUCUUGAGUGAUUUUCAUCAGUUUAGGAGAUUAAUGGCCGCAAGGACCAAUGCCCAGGGUGUAUGUGUGGAGAUCCCACAUAUAUAAAAUCAACAAGAGUUUGAUUAUCAAUAAAUAGCAUCACCUUCUGAGUAUAGGUUGCAGCGCUUCUCAGCAACUAUUCACUGAGAAAGUCAUAGCUGAAAUUACUAUUCGCUGAUUGUUGUAAGGUAAAACACUGCUUAAUGGCUAGCAGAUUUGGCAGAUAAACUCAAGCGAACAGGCACGUAAGUCAGGGGGUUCAUUCGCUUCUGCUUGAUAGUCAUUGCGGCAGUGGUAGUAGUUAUCACUAUAGUAGUAUCGAUGUCUGGACUAGCGGUCCUGACGCUAACAAGUAAAUUUGUGUCUGCGUGCCCAUUUACCCAGAUGGUGAUGCAAGAAGGACACGAGAUGUUUAUACUGGUUCAGGCCGGAUGUGCCCUACGUCUAGUGUGAUGAGGAGAUUCGUGUUAUCUUGCGCCUGAAGUGCUCGUAGUAGGGGUUAUAAGCUGGCUACAAGAGAGAGUACGUCGCAGGUCUCGACUUUGUGUGUUCUAGUGGGAUUGUCUAUGUGUGUGUUGUUCCCCCUUGAAUGGGACCCUGCCUCCCCUUUUAUAGUCUCAAGGGGAGACAGAGGUUACAUAUGUUAGUGCUAUGGUACCACGGCCUUAGUUCGAGGCAUGAGUUAAGGUAUGGCGUUAUGAAGUGACGGUGAGGUGCUUCAUUCUUGAUGCUGUAGUUGAUUGUGAUCGUGGUAUGGGUGCUCCCGUUGUUGUAGUGUUAGUGCGGAGCCAUGUCGGUUCAAGGGACAAGAUGUUUUGACCCUUGUUCAUUCUCCUAUGUUGAGUUCUAAGGCUCUUUCCCUUCGGUUUAGGGGGCUCUGUUGAAGUCGUGGCUACAACGGCUAGGAUUGACCCACCCAUUACCCCUGACGCGACUGUACGCAUAGUGACAGGGACAGGUGGCAUAGUUUCGGUCAUGUCCUGUACCGUGCGACGUGGGUGGGGACGUGUCUUGCAUCUUAUCCACCGUACUGUGGUGCUUGGCGUAUCUGAGAAGCCUCGAGCACUUCGUUGGGAGUGGGGCGCCCGAGGCUGGACUCGAGCGAGACAGAGAAUACCCAAGGCUUCGGUUAGACCUCGGGCGAGAUGAAAGUUGCACGAGGCUUGGCCUCGGGUGAGACGGACAUCGUCCUAUAAAAAUCUGAGGCUUAGUUUGGUUUUUAUUGGGGUGCCUUUCCACUGACCCAUUUGCCCUUAUUGUUAUUUAAUUUUGAAAAGAAGAUUAGGGUGCUCAUGACCUCAAUUUGAGUACCCUAGUUUAUGAUAUCCAAUAAGUAGAUAACAGUUUUUGGGUCAAAACCACGGCCAUAGUUAGCGUUAAAGUGCAUUUAAACAGACCACUAGUUUCUAUACCGAUGAAUGUUUUCUUCAAAAGUAACCUAAUUUCUAUAGUAUUACCAAGGCCAUAUUUGAUAUAACUUAUAAGCUGCCUAUUGUUACAAAAGGUUGAGAUUAAAACUAAACUGUAUGUAUUUUUAACGUUUUUUCUGACUAUAUUUUUCUCCAUGCACAACACUCUUUUGUACUAAAAAGUAGAAGCUGAGUCCGACCAAUUUAUUUGUAGCUACUCUUUUGCUUUAUUUGUACAGAUUCUCGUAGAAACAUUUUUUUUAUUGCUAUACCCAACAGUGCCUAAGAGCAUCUCCAACAGUUUUACAAUUUAUUUUUGACUAAACAUAGAGUUUGUUAAGUCUUAAAUUAAUAUAGUGAGAAGAAAAAAAGUUUACCUCCAAUGGUUUGACAAAAUUGACUUGGCAAAACCCAAAGUGUGGACCUAGCGAUUAUUUUUUCAGGCGAAAAUUUUCUUCGCGUCAUCAACUCGGUCGUGCGUCUUUCUUCGCGCGCUAUUCCUGGCGCCGCCGCCUUCCAGUUCCCAGUCGUGUGUGCACUUGAAGGAAGAGAAUAGAUCAAGGUGGAGAUUGCAUGCAGCCGCCAGGGCUUCUUGGAAUGCAGUUAGCGUACUAGAAGAUCAGGGCGACGGAGACGGCUUUAGCCAGGUCGGGCUAAAUCAGCUAGCCACCGGGGGUUGCUGUUGUUGUACUCUAUAGCGUCGUCGCCAUAUCCUCGUCCUGGACGAAAUCCAUGUUGCCGACGACUCCACCAAGCAGGCUUGCGCUGCGGAACCGAAAGAUCGCGGCCUCCAACUUUCCACGGGAAGAAAACGGCGGCGGCAGGGAAACCACACGUGGGGAAGGAAAACACGCAGGGUUAUACGAUGCCAAGCGCAAUACACGGUUGGCAUAUAUGCCAAACCUAGCCAGGAAUUUACCAAGUUAACAAAAAUGCAAAGCUCAUUUGCCAAACCAUUGAAUAUAAAUUUUUAAGACUUUUUUGCAAAAACAAAAAUAAAAAGCCGAUUUGCAAAAUCGUUAGAGAUGCUCUAAGGCCUUGUUCAGUUCUAGAAAAUUUUUGAUUUUGGCUACUAUAGCAUUUUCAUUUGUAUUUGAUAAAUUUUAUCUAAUCAUGGACUAACUAGGCUCAAAAGAUUUAUCUUAUAAAUUACAGGCAAAUAUGUAAUUAUAUUUUGUUUUCAUCUAUAUUUAAUGCUUCAUAUAUACGUCCAAAGAUUUAAUGUGACGGAAAAUCUGCAAAAGUUUUGGGAACUACCUAAGUCAGGCCUUGUUCAGUUUGGGAAAUUUUUUGGAUUUUGACACUGUAUCACUUUCGUUUUUAUUUGACAAACAUUGUCCAAUCAUGGAGUAACUAGACUCAAAAUAUUCAUCUCGCGAUUUACAGAUAAACUGUACAAUUAGUUUUUGGUUUCAUAUAUAUUUAACGCACCAUGCAUGUGCCGCAAGAUUCGAUGUGAUGGGGAAUCUUGAAAAUUUUUGGUAACUGCCUCAAUGGAUUCACUCGUAGUACUAUCUACAGUGCAGUCAGGAUGGUUGGGUUGUGCAUUGUAUGUUUGUUGUUAGUAAAAAAACAUUAACUAAAGAAAAAAAAAAGAGCUUGGUGAGAGGAGGUCAGUGAGUGAACCAAACUGUAGCUGUGUGAACAAGGCCUCAAACAAAGCCUCACCAGGCCCUCCUGCCCUCCAGUGGCUGGAGUGACAGGCGCGCGCCACCGGGCCUGGCAGCGCUCGUCGAGGCUGCGUUCCUUUCUAAACUGGGUUGCUGUGCCUUCGAUUACCGGUACGGCACUACUAGAGAGCGUGGACAAUAACGUGGUUUUUUUAAUUUUUAUUUAUUUACGUGAUGGCCAUGCACGAGAGCAGUCUAGGCACAGGAGGGCCCAUCACGCAAAAAAUCUCGUGCCUUCCUGUUUGGCCUUCUUUGUUGAAAAAAAAUUAUGGUUUUUCUCCCUCGACUAUCACAAAAGUUUUAUUUUUCUCCCUCAACUCUAAAAUCGGAUAAACCACCUCCCUCAAUUUUUUAAACCGUGUAUUUUAGCUCUCUAGAGUGGUUUAGAGUGGUUUCGAAGGAGGCUACAGUAAAGGGUGGUUUUGCAACAGUAAUGAUGGUUUUAUCUUUUUUUUAACUAUUUCAACUGAAUUUUCAAAAAUCAUAGUAAAUCACUAAAAAAUAUAUAAUAGAAAAUUUAAUUUUUUUUGGACUCCACAUAAGUAGAUCUACAUAAUAAACAUAUAAUAUGGUAUGUUUUAGUAUAAAGUUUUAGCUAUAAAGGGUUUGUCUUUUUAUUUUUAAUUUCUUUUGGCUAAAUAUUUGAAAAAUCAUAGUGAAUUACAGGAAAAAUAUAAAAUAGAAAAUAUAAUUUUGUUAGACUCUACAUGAGCAUAUUUACACAAUAAAUAUAUAAUGUGGUAUACUUUAGUAUAAAUUUUUUGUUGUACCUCUAGAUCUAUGCUUUUCUGUAAUUAAUUGAAAUAUUUCAUAGUUGUAGCUUUUGUAGUUAUUUUGUCGGACUAAAGCAUACAUAUAUUAUAUGUUUAUUGUGUAUAUAUACUCACGUGGACUCCAAAAAAUUAGAUUUUCUAUUUUUUAUGAUUUACUAUAAUUUUUCAAAGAUUAAGCCAAAUAAAUAAAAAAAGAAAAAAAUACUAAACCUUUAUAGCAAUAACUUUGUGUUAAAGUAUACCGUAUUAUAUGUUUACUGUAUAGAUCUACUUACGUGGAGUCUAAAAAAAUUAGAUUUUCAUUUUAUGAUUUACUAUGAUUUUUUAAAGAUUUAGCCGAAAUAAUUAAAAAGAAAAAAGACAAAACCAGCAUCACUGUAAGAAAACCACCAUUCACUAUAGCAAAACCGACUUCGAAACCGCUCCAGGGAGGUAAAAUAUACAGUUUGAAAAAGUUAAGGGAGGUGGUUUGUCCGGUUUUAAAGUUGAGGAAAAGCCGAAUUUUAUAAAAGUUGAGGGAGUCUCAAGUUACCGGCAAAAACCCAACAUCGACUGUACGCAUGCGCAGGCCAGCAGGACAGAGAACUCAAUGUGGCAUGCGUCGAUCACAGGCACCGCGCCUCACGGGCGGGUCCGUGAAGCCGCCUUGGCCAAGAAAGGUGCCAAGAAACAGAGGUGGUUGUGAGCAUCCACUGGUGUCAAGAACCCUGCUUGAAUUAGCAUUCUUAGGGGAUGUUUAAGACCGCUCCACGAACUCUGCUUCACAAACUGCAUUGUGGAGUAGCUCCACAAAAAACUGAAGUUUAUGGAGCAGCUCUUUAGAUGCUCUUACAACUCCACUCCUUUUUUUUUUGUUGAACUGGGUUCGUGGAACUGAAACCGUUUAGCUAAAAAAUAUGAAGCGGAGCUGAAAAAUGUGGAGCAGAGCAGUCCCAAACACCCCUUUAACUUCACAAAAAGUAAUUCUGGAGUGAUGCACUUUCAGGAUCAACACGAUGUCCAACCAAGCUUUGCGGCCGGGCAUUCAUAGACCAUGGCAGUAUGGCACUAUAUUCCCUUACCCGAUGUGAGAUCAUGUAAAUACAGCUUACGAACUGAUGAUAGAUAAUUAGCGAUUAGCCGAUUAUGAUCUCUGUUCGAGAUGUGAAAACUAGAAGAGUGCAGAACCAUCAGUAGUUUUAUACCUUUCCAAAGUUUGGGCAUGUAUAUAUCACUUCUCCAUCCAUUCAGAAGUACAACCAAGACGAAAAUGGUGACAGCACUUAGUUACAAGUUUUUGGAUUGCCUGGUGUAUACUCUGCACAAUGAAUUAAUCAUAAUGAAUUGGUGAAAAAAUGUUCAGACACCAAGAUAAACUGCUUAGGAAAAUUUUAUUUGAACACAAACCUUCCAUACAGGUAGGGCAGACAUCCUCAACUUCUGAAGCUAGACAGCUCAUAGCUGCUACUACAUAUAAACUUUUGCAGACAAAACUCCAAUAGUCGAUUCAGAACGAUGGACCUUAUAUUCAUCCUCAUUUUCAGUGUUGCAUCACUGAAUAAGAUUUUUUCAUAGUAUCACCAAAUUACUAAAUCUACGUUUGCAUGUAUGUUGAAGUAAAGAACAAAAAAAAGAGUUGGUGAGAGGGGUUAGUGAGUGAACCAGAACAACCACACGGGACUAAUCCCGCAUGGAAACCCAAGGAGAUGUACUAAUAGGCCUAUAAAUGAUGGACACUAGAGCCCAGCAUCUAGGAGGCCUCCAAAAUGCUGGGGAACCUAGGCCCGACCUAUCGCCGUUUCGGCGGCGAGCUCCACAGGCCAAUUGCCCGUGUCGAAGACACGGUUGAGCUCUGGCUCCAACUCACAACCCAGGCUGAGGCCCAAAUAUCAAUUCAUUCCAUUUCGAUUCAUGUUCCUCCCGCAGCUGGCCCAGCACUUUGUCACUGCACCAACUCUUUUGCCCUCCAGUGGCUGGAGUGACAGGCCCGCGCCACCGGACCUGGCGGCGCGCGCUCGCGCUGCGUUCCAUUUUAAGCUGGGUUGCUAAGCUUUCGAUUAGCGGUAUGGCACUAAAGGAGGGCGGAGAACCCCUGUUUGAACGCGGUUUUCUUUUCGUGAUGGUCAUGCAUGCACUCGAGAGCAGUCAGUCAGCAGGCAGAGGACGCAUGAGAGAUCCCGUGCUUUGCUGCAUGCAUGUUCGGCUUUCUCUGUUUUCUCCGGUUGAAGUCGUCUCAAGUCACACCGGCAGAAACAAAAAUUAAACCCACAAGUAUUAAAUAUAGACGAAAACAAAAACUAAUUGCACAGUUUAUCUAUAAAUCACGAGAUGAAUUUUUUGAGCCUAGUUAGUCCGUGAUUGAAUAAUGUUUGUCAAAUAAAAACAAAAAUACUAUAGUACCGAAAUCCGAAAUCUUUUCGAAACUAAACAAGGCCCAAAUUGCCAUUCCUUUAGUAUUCCGAUCCUUUCUUAUUGACUUUAAAUUAAUGCGAAACCAUCAGUUAUGGACCUUUCAAAAUUCGGGUGGUCAGUCACCGGCUGGGAUUUGCAUUUUCAGAGAUGGAUGAUUUGCAUGCGGAAGUACCAACCUGCACCUGCUAAUCUGCUAUACCAUACAAUCAUUAGUUACAAUGGUCUACUCCCUCCGUCUAAACAAAUUGUUGUUGUUGACUUUCAGACAUCUUGGUUGACCAUCCGUCUUAUUAAAUAAUUUUAUAUAAAUAUCAUCUAUUUUGAUAUGAUUUAUUUGAUCAUUAGAGAUACUUUAAUAAUCGUUCGCAUAAAAAGAUACUUUAAUAAUAAUGUGUUUAUUUUAUAAUUUAUACAAAAUCUUUGAAAAUAAGACGAUUGCAGUGGCGUAGCUAGGGGGGCUAGAAGGGGCCAAAGCCCCCUAUGGUCUACAACUUUUGUAUAUAUUCAUACUUUAACCACUAGUACAAGUAGUCAUUUUAAAGGAAAUAAGAUCUUCGAGGUCAUAUUUUCAUAUCUUUCCCUUGUCUUGGCCCUCCCCAAUUUGUUUCUCUGGCUCCGUCUCUGAACGAGUAGUCAAAUAUAAUGUCUUUUAAGUUGAAAACAUUAGUCAUUUUUUGGACAGAGGGAGUACACUAUGCACUCCGGCGCAAAUAUGAAAAAGAAAAAGAAUCUGGCCUUGUUUAGUUCCUAAAAAAAAUUGCAAAAUUUUUUAGAUUCUCCAUUACAUCGAAUCUUGCGAAGCAUGCAUGGAGCAUUAAAUAUAGAUAAAAAUAAAUAAAUAACUACACAAUUUAUCUGUAAUUUGUAAGACGAAUCUUUUAAACCUAGUUAGUCUAAGAUUAGACAAUAUUUAUCAAAUAUAAACUUACAUAUUUUGCAAAAAAAAAAUGAACUAGACAAGGUCUGAAAUUGCUUGGUAGGCGACUAUAGCGUGCAGUCUGUGUUCCGGAUCCUGUGUGAAUGGCAUAAGGUAUGUACUUAUGCAUAGAGGUGGUAGAGCCAUCAUCUAGGACGCAUGAACCAUGAACGAAAGCACAUAGUUAGAGGCUAGAGCUCGCCAAUUCACAAGCUUCUCUUUACCGAAACAAAACACCAUACGUCCCUGGAGGGACAGAAAUAAGCAAAAUGAAUAACGCCAUAGAUUUACCACAGGCAAAGUAGUCCGUUUGAUCGGAAUUCGAAAGGAUCUUGCAUUCCGAUCGACCACUGCGCACCACGUAAGGGCGCGUGCGGAGGCCUGGAGCGGCGCAACAUGCAUACUAUGCCAUAAUUUACAAGCGGGGUUCAUAUGCACACGUCAUAAUUUACAAGCCAUAUAUAUUGGCCGCGGAGCUAGAAACAUUCUUCCAUUGCGACUUGGAGUGACCAAAGCGGCCACAGCAUAGGCCCCAACAUAAUCAGCCAAUCAGCAGCGCUACCGUUAGAACGCGAUAUCUGUUCCAGCAGAAUUUUUGCAACAUUGAUAAGGAGAUUUGUGAACAUGCAAUAGCCAUAUAUGUUACUCGUAACUAGAGAAGGGCAGAGAUGACCAGUCUGAGUUAACUCUUACCUUUGUCUUUUAUGGUACGCAGGUCAGCUAGGUGACGCAUUGUUGGCCUCCCAUGCGGACAGUUCCAAGGGGACCUUAGUCCUGUCAGGUUUUUAAGUAUCUGAAAGUAGAAAAGCAAAACAAGGGCACGUCACUAGGUAGUUUUAAAACGAAUGUUUAUCUUUCAACAAGCAGACACACCUAUCAAAAGCUAAUUGAAUGUGUAAUUACCUUCUUCAUCUCGGCUUUUGUUAGUGGAUCACCUAUCAUAGUAGACAUUCGGCAAGCCCUAGAAGCCAACAUAGCACGAACCCUCGAAGGGCAAACAGAAUCGGUUGUAUCCAGCUUGUAGCUACUUAUUAUUGAACAGUCUCCUUGACUAUCAGCAAGCAUGGAGAUCAGCUCCUUCACAUCUAAAAUCAAGGGAGUUCAGAAUAGGACCAUGUUUGACAUGCACAAAAACAUAAUUUCUGACAUGAAAAUAACAAAUACCUUGAACACCAAAUGUAAUAUUUUUGCUGAAAGGCACAGCUUUCAAAAGAUAAUGGUUACCAGGGGAAGCAUGCAAAUCUUCUGCCAAAACAAAACCAUUUUUUCUGAAAAUUGAGAAAAUGGAAGAAAACAUUGUGAGGCAACAAGAGCUGUUGUUAAAUAUUGAAAACAUACAGUGUGUUUCUCAGUAUUAGUUAUAAGACAUUAAGGAAAAAGGCAUUGCAAAAAUCAAGAUGACCAAGUUGGCACACAGUUGAAGAUUACGUCAGGAAUGAAUUUGAUCGUUUCAAUAUUAAACAUAGGCAGCAAAACUUUUUUCUGGAAGCAAAACACAAAGAAAUGAUCAAUGAAUAACAAGAGUUAUACUACUUAUACCGUGUAUUCUCUUUUAAGCAAUUGAGAACAAUAAAAUAAGUACAGAUAACAAACUAUACAUGUUGUUUAUCUUAGUGGUGGAUGUGCUCAAUACGCUCAUUAGCAACGCAAGCAUCAAUGAUAUGCUCCAGCCCCUCCUCCCAUGAGGGUGACAGUCAGCGGGUCUCUAUUUAUGCUAAUGAUAUGGUUCUUACUUUUUCAUGGCCAAACAUGGACUUGGAAUUAAUCAAGGGGAUCCUUAAGUUAGUGAAGCAUCAGGUUUAGACAACAAUACUAGCAAGUUUUUUGUGAGCCCCAUACAGUGCCGAGAACAUGAUAGGGAAUUGGGGUAACCUUCCUUCCCUUGCAAGGUUCAAGAAAUUUCCUGUAAAUAUCUUGGACUACCAUUGUCAAUAAAAAAACUUCCCAAUGCUGAAUUCUAUGCGAUUGUUGACAGGAUUGCUGAUAACCUGUCUAGGUAGAAGGCAGCCAUGGUGCACCAGGCAAGGGAGGGCUACCCUUGUCCGCAGUGGCGAAGCUAGAGCUAUUUAGAGGGUGGUGCAUUUUUCUUGUAGAUGUAAAAAUAUAAGCAACAACCAUGGUGAAAAUUUAAUUUUAGUAGUGAUUUUUUAAAUUCUUGUGGGUGCAUUUGCACCCACAAGCUAUAACAUAGCUUCGCCACUGCUUGUCCGUUCAGUGCUUAUAUCCAUAGUCCAUACAUAUUUAUCAGCUAUUUGUCUUGGAGUUAACUAAAUGGGUUAUUAAGGCAAUCGAUAAGAUCAGGUGAGCCUUCAUGUGGAAAGGGUGCAAGGAGGUUAAUGGAGGCCAUUGCCUUGUUGCUUCGGACCAGGUCAAAAGGCCAACUGAUCUUGGAGGAUUAAGUAUUCUUGAGUUGAGUUGCUAGGCUGGGCACUGAAAACGAGAUAGCUAUGGCUAAAAAGGAUUCAACCUGAGCGUCCAUGGGCUAAUCUUCAUUCAAGGGAAAAUUGGAUCUAUGCCAUCAAAAGAACCUAUUGUUAGAUAUAUACCAUCAAAGAAUCCAGUUUAGAUAUGUACCAGCAAAAGGAUGGAGAUGCUAUAGAACCAUUCUGUUAACUUCCCUUACCAUGAUUGGCAGUUCUUUGUUUUUUUAUGGAUUUAGUAUAUGUAUAAAGUCCCAAUUUUGCCCUUUCAUGAAAACAACUAGUGGAUCUGUAUCAAGACGGGAUCACUGGAGACGGGAGGUCAAUCCACACGAAGUGGCCAGCAGCGCCUCUUCUCAGCAGCUUCUCUGGCAGCACGCUCCCCAGCAAUGUGAUUCCAGUUUCCAGGUAGCCCGCCACCUGCACCCGAGGCUCCGCACUCCCCUCCAUGGCUCCACUGGAGACUGAUCCACGCGAAGGAGCGACCGGUGCUGUAUCUCCUAAGAAGUGACAUAUUUUGAUGGUACGUAUCUAAACUGGAUUCUUUUGAUGGUAUAUAUCUAAAAAAAUGGUCCUUUUGAUGGUACAAAUCCAAUUUUACAAUCUCACUUGGUUGCAAUGUUCUCUCAGUCAUUUCGAUUGUCAGAGAUGGCAGCAGGAAAUUCUUUUGGCUUGACAAAUGGUUGCAUGGGAUUAUCCCUGUCAGUCCUUGCUCCGGCUUUUUGUAAGCAUGUGCAGAAGAGAGCAUUGAAGCAAAGAACAGUGCAGGAGGCACUAACUGAUGGUACUGGAUCCAGGACAUUAGAGGUGAUCUGUCAAUAGAGGCCUUGCUGGAAUACCUUCAGUUAUGGGAGAUUUUAUCUAUGGUUAAUCUCUCUGUUGGAGUUGAAUGAGGAACUGAGGAUCAACACACUUGGUCACCAAUGCCAUCAUCUUCCUCGAGAGAGAUCAUGACCAAGUCAGCCUAUUGUCACUUCUUGGGGGCUGUUGAUUUUGAACCAUGGAAGGAAAUUUGGAAAACCUGGGCAUGCCUGUUCUUAAGACAAGUGUGGUUAGUUGUGUUGUCCUUUGUUAGUCUGCCGUCUUUGCUGAAUGGUAGCGCUAAGCUAGGCAAAAAGUGGCUAAGCACAAGGGCCUCAACCCUAUAGUUGUGUUAGUCACUUAGUUACUUGGUGGAUUUAGAAACAUAGGAACAGCUGUGUUUUUGAGGGGGGGGGCUCACCUAGGCUUAAUGUCGUACAGAACAUUAAAGAUGAGGCCCAUUUAUGGUGUAUGGCUAUGGCAAGGGCCAAAGAUCUCAUGGGCAUUUGACCAUAGGAGUUGGGUAUGGCGUAUGGGCCAUUGGUUGUAGCUUUUAUUCUUUCUUGGCAACCCUUCUGUACUAGAAGCAACCUUAUUGGGCUUGUAUGAGUUUUCUUAGACUCCUUUUUCUCUCUUUCUUAAUAUAAUGAUGUGCAGAUCUCCUGCAUUUUUUAGGGGAAAAAACUAUACAUGGACGAUGUGAGUUGUGAGUUAUGGACAAAUAUUACAAGACAAACUACAAAAUAAUAAAUGUGAUGUUGUUUCAACAAGCAAAUGUACUUUUUUUUCUUUUCAGAUGUAACAAACAUCUAGUCACAUAAUCAACUGGAUAUCUUCAUAAAAGACGCAUACUCAACACUAUUUUGUUUGAUCUUAGAGUUAAUAGCGGACAAAUCAAAUUGAAGAAGUAAGACAAUUCAAUACCUGAUGGUGCUCAUGUUCAUAGAAACAAUUACUUCUUCCUCUGGUGAGAGAUCAAGUCUCAGUGGCCUGCAUUUAGAUAUACCCACAAAUACCCAACAGAAGUGAGGCAUAUGGCAAUUUUGGCUAAUGGUAUGGAAAAGUAUUUUGCCAACAUUAUGGAUCCAUACUUGGAAACAUUCAAAACACACAAAGUUUAGAGUUCAAUGCCUAGAAAUAGCAGGCAAAAAUAAUGGAUUCGUUUACUUACUGGAGAAGAGGCUGUAUGUUUAAAGUUGUAGACUGUGAAAGGCACUCAAAGUUGUACUUCUCAUCAGCAGCAUGCUAAUAACAAAAACAGAACUUCAAUCAAUGCAUCUUGCAAGUUGCAACUCGCAUUUGGGUUUGUAUGAUGGUGUUACAACAUUCCACGAAAAACUACAAUAAGCUACCUGAUCUACAAUAAACAGAUCCUGGUCGAGCUUUCCAAUGAUAAAACCAAGAUUAAAUUGCCCAACAACCUAACAGAUGAAAUAGUUAGUUCUACAAAAUAAUUGUAUAAAUUUCACGCAAUCAAUACUUUUAAAAAUUGAAUAUGUAUCAAGCAAAUAAAGUAAUAGGUUAUAAAUAUUCGAAUAAGAUGAGAGGAGGAUGGAUAAUUAUAUGUAUUGAACAGUCCCCAACGGGGAUAUAUGUAGUAUGUGGAACUCACCAAACCCUAGAUUAGAUCAAUGACCAUUUUACCCUUAACAGUAGUAAAAAGAAUCUUUUAGUUCUAGAAAUUCACUUUCCAGUUUUCUUGUAAGCUACUUUCCAAGUUUUCAAGAAUUUGGCAAUACUGAGUGGCAACUGUCAACGUGUCCAAAUUUGACACAGAAAAAAAAAUCAUCAACGUACUCCAACAUAUCUUGACAGUACAAUUUGAGGAGGUACUCCAACAUAUCUUGACAAUAUAAUUUGAGGAGGGACCUGCGGUGAGUUUACUAGUAUCGUGGGUGGUGGGUUAGCCAACCUGGGCUUCCUCCCUUCUACAAAAUCAUUGGAAGGAGUGUCUAUCCCUUUCAACCUCAUUUAAUAGUAUAAAAUCAUAGUUCUUAAGGCGUAAAGGUGAGGCAUGACAAUGCGCCACCGCCUGGACGCCUAGGCGCCCGCCUUGCCCGCCUAGGCGACCAUUUUGCAAGGCGCUGGGGGGGGGGGGGGGGGGGGGGUCGCAGGCGUCGCCUAGGCGACACCUUAAGAACACUGUAUCAAAUAACAUGGAACCUUAACAAAAAGGAGCACCAAUAUUAAAAUAUAUAUAUCAAGCACCUCCAUUUCUCCAAAAUCAUCUUUACUGAAAAGCCUGUCCAACUCAUUGGUGGCUGCAGCUAAUGAAUUUGAUUUUGCCUCGUCAGCUAAGGGUACAAUAAUAUCCAGUGUUGCAGCUUUAUAGCACCUACAUUAAGGAAAGUGAAACUAUACAUUACAAAAAUAAUAACACAAAUCCUGAUGAUAACAGAAGUUGUUUGUGGUAACAGCAAGAAUGUUACCUUGUUGUUUUCUCAAGACAAUAUGGUUUAUUUGUAUGGGAUACCAUAUAACCAUUCUUUCUUCUUCUCCUAAGCUCGGCAACUGUAAACUGAAUAAUGGGAUACUGUACAGGUGCAUAACAUACUACAGCACCAUCAUCAUAAUCCUGAGCAUCAGGCAAAGGACUAUCAGCCGAUGCAUUCUGAUGUCGUGAUUCUGAAUAUUUGUUAGGAGCACCAGACGCUGAAAAGCAUCGACCACGAUGUUCAUCCUGCAAGGGUUUGGCAGUUAAUCUUACAAAUAAAGUGAUAAAAAGAGUAAAAGACCCCCAAGAAAAACUAUGAGUUAGCUUCAUACUGAAUCAUAACAUAUCAAAUUAAGAAACUAUUCCAGAAGCCAUUCCUAUUAUUUACAUAACCAAAACCAAUAAGUGAGUUACAAAAUACCAAAAUUAGAUUGGUGAUGCCUAAUCAAUUUACAAACAAGAAAAUCACCAUGAACUCUAAAUGUAAGACCAGCAGGCAAAGCAUUUAACAAGAGAAGACUUAAGAAUAAAGGUGAGCAAGCAACAUAAGAACAGGAACACGUAUACUUUAUUGGCAGAAGUCCAAAUAUAAUUGAAGCCUCAAAAACUCUAUCUAAUAGCAAACAAUUUGCCUACCACAUCAGAUUCUGUAGUGUGAACAUCCCAUGGACCUGAUACCUCCGCCCCAAGGGUCACAAUACUAGGUUGUUUAGAAUGCUGUGGUGAAACAUCUGUCCUCACAGAUCCAAAAGAUUGUGGGAGAUGCUGUUUUAAAGAGUUUGUUUCCAGAGGUAAAUUGAACUCAGGAAUAUUGUUCGUGCUUGAGCUUAAUGAAGGUGCUGAAUUUGCUUCUAAACUUGCUCCCCUCACCUGUUCUGAGUUUGUCCCUCUUCUCAACACUGGGGUUUCGGAAAUAAAGGUGCUGUCAUCGUGCUUCUGCUUAUUUGGUGAUGCGAAGUCAACAUCUGAACUUGUUCUCCUGUCUAGUUCAGAGCACGUCCCACUUCUCAGCACUGGAGCUUCAGAAAUAAUGCAAUCAUCUUCACGGUUCUGCUUUUCUGGUGUAACAAAGUUUGAUUCUAAACUUGAUCUCCUCACUUGUUCUGAGCAUGUCCCUCUUCUCAGCACUGGAGUUUCAGAAAUAAGAGUGCAGUCGUCUUCAUGCUUCCGCUUGUUUAGUGAUACAAAGUUCAUAAGAGAAGACUGAAUGGUACUUGAAUGAGUAGAUUUUGCAGCAAGCCCAGUUCUGAAACGAUUUGUUCCCGAUGCAAAACUAUUUCCUUCUUUAGGCAAUCUUUUUGGCUGGUCAUAUGCAAAGGAUGGAAGCCAAGCAGAUGAUUUAUCAGCCUGAGUGGCUGUGCCUCUUGACAAGGGGCUUGCAUCUCUAGACGUUGCUUCAAUGGCUACCUUUGCCACUGAAGAAGGCAAUUUCUGGUUCUCUGGGGAAACAUGGUCCUCACUGUCUGUUUCUUCAUCUUCAUCAAUAUUGUUGGAAGCUGAAACAUUUGCCAUUGUGAUAGCAUUUGUGUCUUCAUUAUGCCCAUCAGUAACAGCAUCCCCUUCCUUUUCAGGAUCUUUGAUGUGAUUGACUGAGAAACUGCAUUGUAGAGGGGAGUACAGAUUUUCAACAGCUUCACGUAAAGACUGCAGAAUCAAGCUCUCGGACGAGAAGAAAACUUUUCUCUUAUCAGGUGCAACAUUCACAUCGUAGGAUGUAGUUGGAAUACGGAAAUCCAGGAUAACCACAGGAUAUUGCUUUGCAUUUGAACUUUUGUAUAGCUCGUUGACAAGUUUAGUGACCUUUGGCAUAUCAAUAGGUCUGCCAUUCACAUAGAAAAAUUGUCUAUCUCCUGAACUGCGGCCAGUACCAGGUCCAGGUUUUGAAAGAAAGCCCUCUAUUUGGCAGCCAUCCGAGGUGGUAACACUGAAGGGCUCCAGACAUUUGAAAGUAUUUGGACCAAAUACAGUAAUAAUAUUGUCUUUCAUAGAACUGCUUCCUUGAGUUCUAAGCACAACCAUUUUUGAAUUUUUUCCAACAGUAUUAGUGCAGAGUAAUCUGACCCCUUUGGCGAUCAAGGCAUAAGCCUAACACAGGUAAGAUGUAAGAAUUAGUAACAAAGCUAGGGGGCAGCUACCUUAAUCAUUUGGCAAGUUCCUCGGCAUCAAACAUACCAAAAAGAACUUACAAACUGAAACAUAAAAACUCACGUUCAACAGAGAGAUCACUUUCCCAUACUCCUUCCGAAUGUUCCUGCUAAACUCCUUGCUCCGGACCGGCAAGGUGGAGAACAAUUUUUCCACUGUCACCGUGGUUCCAACCUGCCGUGCCGUCUUCCUCUCACUAACCACCACGCCCGAGUGCUCAAACUCCAAAUGGGUCGCAACAGGCUCAUCCUUGCUCCUCGUCUCAACCGUCAGUUUCCCCAGCGCGCAGAGCGAGCUCAGAGCUUCACCCCGGAACCCGAAGGUCACCACAGAUCCGAGGUCGGAGAAAUCCGAUAUCUUCGACGUGUGGUGCUUAAGAGCGAGAGCCUAUUAAAGUGUCAGCAACAUGGUUAGCGACUAGCAAUUGGUGCCAACGUCUACAGCAGCGAAAUGGGGGGAAUUGGUGACUCCACGCAUUGGAGCAGCUACCGCCCUCACCUGGAAGUUAGAGGGAGAUAUGCCGCAUCCGUUGUCGACGACCUUGAACCACUCCUCGCCGUAGGCCUUGAGGCUGACCUCGACGGAGGUGGCGCCGGCGUCGAGGCUGUUCUCGACGAGCUCCUUGACGGCGGAGGAAAGGUCGAAGAUGACCUGGCCAGAGCAGAUGCGGUGCACCACCGCCUUACUGAUUGGCUUGAUCGCCGGCGAGGAUUCUCCGCGCCCGUCGCCUCCCCCUCCUCCUCCUCCCGCCAUUCCCCGCCUAAACCCUACGCCUCGCGGUGGAGGCUGGAGAGGAAGGGGGGUUUUCGGCGUCGCCUUCCUCUCGAACCCGCGCCACUGGGCAAAGGAAAUCCGCAAGCGGUUGGUUCGCCAAAGGAGUGGCGACACAUCUCCCUCGGUUGGGCCUUCAAGUGGGCUCGACCAAUCUCGGCCGCAAACCGGCCUUUUGUAUAAAGAAGUUUCAGGUCCACUUCUAUCCGUUACUCACAUCAUCCAAAAUAACUAUUGUUUUUAUUUCCCGAUAAAAUUUUUAAUUAAAUAUAUAUUAAAAAUAUUAAUACUAAUAGUACAUAAUUAAUAUCAUUAAAAAGUUUUUUUAAAACUAAUUUUUUAACAAAUUUAGUUGGAGAUAAAAACGUUGUACUUAUUUUUUAUAGAUCUCAUCAAACUUGUGACAUGAAAACAUAAAACGACAGUUAUUUUUGAGACGGAGAAAGUUCGUUUCAAAUUAUAUUAGGAGGAUUCCCCACAUGUUGCCGCGGGUAUGAAGAAAAAAUAUAAGUAGGUUAGAAUAUUAAUCACUAAGAAUCAGAAGAUGUGUAUGUAUGAUGUUGGUAAUGCAACAAUAUAUGUUAGUAAACGUUAUGGUUUGCUAAUAUGAAUAGUUUAAAUAAAGAUAUAAUGGUAUGUGAUAGUUUGAUGUGUUAGUGAAUGCUGAUGUGGACACUUUGUAUGGUGAGAUAGUUGAAUGUGCUAUGUGCUGGUAGAAUGUUCUAGUGGAUAUUAGUGUAGACACUUUGCAUGGCAAGAAAAAUAGCUAGUGGAAUUUAUCUUUAUAAGAGAUAUAGAUAGAUUGAACGUUUUGAAUUUUUUUAAUACAUUGUGUCUAAAUAUAUAGAAAAAUAUAUCUAAAAAACUAAAAUGUCUUAUAAUUUAAAAUAAAUUGAGUACUUAGGAUCCUCAUGUUAAAAAAAGAUAUGUUUACCUGUGCUUUUGAAAAACAGAAAUUUUGCAAAUGCCCGUACACAUAUAAUAUUUUAUAAGAAUCGGUUCAAAUUUUCAUGGAAGAUAUAGAUGGGAGGAUCUGCAAUCCAAAUGGGCACUAAAUUAGGGCCUUUUGCAGAACACACAAAAUUGUUCAAACAUAUUUUGAGUUAGCGCACGGAUGCUCACAUGUCUUACCAUUAUGAAUACAGGUAUACAAUACAAACUCUACUAUAGUAGAGCUUUAAGAGAUUGAGUAGGUAUUUGACAAGCAUAUGCAUAUCACCUACUACUACGGUGCUACAUAAUGAAUAUCAUUGUUCUUUCCGAAAAUAAGUCAACUUAAAUAAAGGUGCGGAAAACUUUAUCAAAAUAAAUAAUCUAACUAGAGCUACCCUUGUUUCAUAGCGGAUGUUUAUAUGCAUGCACAAUAAUCUCUAUAAACACAUAUAAACAAACACUUCCUCCAUUCCUAAGUAAAUCAACUUCAAGAGUUCUUUUAAGUUAAUCUUUUUUGUAUUAACUAAAUUUAUAGUAAAACACAAUAAUAGUGACACUAAAAUAGUAUAUUAUAAAAAUGUAGUCUAUGAUGUAUCUCAUAAUACUAAUCUAGUGUCAUAAAUGUUUACACUCCUUUUUAGAAACUCAAUUAAAGUUAAAGAAAAGUUUGACUUAUAAAUCAUUCUAGGAAUUGAUUUAUUAAAAAACAGAUCAUCCCUAGACUAUUGUUCAUGGUCAUAUUUCUGUUAUAACCGCUAUAUUGGUAGCACCGCUAGAUUAGACCCUAUUUGGAGUUUCUUCAUUGACUUCGGGAGCCGUUUUUCAUCAAAUAGGGUAAAAUAUAACGGCUUAAAGGUUCAAAGACUGAGAUGGAGCUGAAGUAAUGGCUUCACCUUGUUCUAAGGGCACUCACAAUGCAAGACUCUAUCACAGAGUCCAAGACAAUUAACUACAUAUUAUUUAUGGUAUUUUGCUGAUGUGGCAGCAUAUUUAUUGCAGAAAGAGAUAGAAAAAAUAAGACUCCAAGUCUUAUUUAGACUUCAAGUCCACAUUGUUCGAGAUACUAAAUAACUUUAGACUCUAUGAUAGAGUCUGCAUUGUGAGUGCCCUAAUGGAGCCCUACAUAGGAUCCCGUGAGAACAUUAAAGUUCUACAUGUGAAGUUCUUUUGUCAAAUGAUUUAUCAAAACAACUUUAGCUCUAACUAUAGAGCUAUUUAUAGAGUUGAAACAAAAAUAAAAGAUUUUACUAGUGAAGUGAAGCUAUGUCAAACGAGCAUAUGAUGUAGGCAUAUAGUGCUUCAGAGUGGCAGUAUGUCAAACGAGCAUAUGAUGUAGGCAUAUAGCGCUUCAGAGUGGCAGAUCUGAAGCGAGCUGAUUUAUAGUGUUUAUGACCGAUUAUCGACCCAGUACCUACUCACUAGAUUCACGUGCAUUUAGGUGUUGUUUAGUUUUCAUUUUUUUUUAAAUUUCUCGUUACACCAAAUCUUGUGGCACAUACAUGGAACAUUAAAUAUAGAUAAAAAAAUACUCCCUCCGUCCCUAAAAGCUGUAACUUAUAGAGUUGUCCUAAGUCAAACUUUUAAAACCAUGGAACAUUAAAUAUAGAUAAAAAAAUACUCCCUCCGUCCCUAAAAGCUGUAACUUAUAGAGUUGUCCUAAGUCAAACUUUUAAAACUUUGACCAAAUUUAUAGAGAAAAGCACUAAGAUUUAUAGUACCAAAUUAAUACCAUUAGAUUUAUCAUUGAAUAUAUUUUUAUAAGAUACUUAUUUUAUAUUAUACAUGUUGAUGCUUUUUUUAUAAAGUUAGUCAAAAUUAAAUAAGUUUGACUGACACGGAUUCUAGAAAUUGAAGCUUUCAGAGACAGAGGGAGUAACUAAUUAUAUAGUUCGUCCAUAAUUUACGAGACGAAUCUUCUGAACCUAAUAAAAGUGCUGCAAUACCUAAUACUAACAAAAUUUAUCAACUAAACAAGGCCUUACUUUUUGUACCAUUUUAUAUUUUUUUAAAAAAAUAAAAGACAAAGCAAAGUCAGCUUGAAAAUACUCAGUCACAGCCAAAAGAGCCCAAGAAAGAACCGACCAAUGCUACGUAGACAGUAGUACAGGCCAGUUGUGGUCCAUGUCGCCCGCAGGACGAAAGGCUUUUUUUUUUUUUUGAGACAACGAAAGGCUGAAAGCUGAAACCAUCCUGUUGCCCACCGGAUUAUCGUAGCGCGUCGUCCAGGGUCAAACCAAACUGCUGAGCGGGUAGAGCACAUGGGCACAAGGCCGACUUGGCCGCUACCGCGUCCCGUCCAAAGAACGGGGCGAACGUGACGAGUCCAAAGCACAGGACUCCGGCAACGGCCGCCGCCAGUCCACCCGUGCGGCACUGCGGCGUGCGGGGUGCGGCCCGAGCCGCGCGGGGCGUUCCCGCCCGGCGCUAUCUGUUUUGGAUUCGUUUGGACUGGGACGGUGGGCGCUGGCACGGUCCCGGGUUCACCGCCUGUGACCCGUGUUUGACCCCCGCCCCCACCCAAAUGUGACGUUCUCGCGUUGGUUUUGGGCUUCUUUGCAAUUCACAAAUCACACCUUCCUCGGCUGCUAAUUUAUGUAUAGCUCAUAGCCGCAAGAUGGCAUAAUAUUAAUAUUAAUAGGCUGCCCCCGGAUGGCCAUCGAUCUGGUUUUCCCCCUCAAAUUUCGGUUACUAAUAAAAAAACUCAACCAAUUGAUUAACAAAAGUUAUCAAGACCAAGCAAAUUUUGUAUUCGGUUAGUUCGGCCAGGAACCAUGCAACAAGAAAAAAAAAGGAAACUCGAUAAGUGGCAUCACCGCUCGAUCAACACGUCUCUACAUGACAUAUUUGUUUUGUAGAGAAAUAUUGUUAUUGCUGAAGAAGCCGACCAGGUGUUCACCACGACACCAUCUAACCACCAUGCCCAUGGAAGUCGGUGACAUGCACUGAUAGACUAGAUAAGGAAGGAGCUCGCGACACCACAACCUCUUCGGUAGACAACCCACGUUGAUCGUGGUAGAGUGAGUCGAAGAUUAGAGGAGGUGCCACCAUCACCGUUGGAGAGGCAUAUCGCGAGAAAAAGGUGCUCCAACUCUAAGUGGGGGGAGAAUAUAGGUUGGAAUGGGUAUUGCUACCACUACUAGAGAGGUAUCGCUAGAAGGGGCAAUGCUGACCAAACUUGAGUGCAAAGAGUGUAGAAAUAAACAUAACCGCCGCCGCUUCCUAGGUUUUUGGGGUUAGGUGUACGAAUGAAAUGGAAAGUUGUGAGUGACAUUAGAAGGCUUGUAAAGGGAGGGGUGAGUUUAUUCGAUCAACAGAGAAGAAGAGUUACAUAUAGCUAGGACCAAUGCUCAUUUAUGUGCUUCUUUCUUAUAAUCUCAUAUUCUUCGUUUGGUUCGGUUAACUAAGGUAUAAAACCAAAUUAACUAAUAGAAAUUUGGUUAUCUAAUAUUCAAGAUUGAAAUACAAUACAAAUUAUGAUUGUAGUCUCGCCUUUUUCCACUUCUAAGGAAGGCAACUACCUUUUAUUUAUAUUAGAAAACAGUCAUAACACUCAUAUCCGAUCAUUAGAUUAAAUAACUUCAGUUGAAUCAUAUCAUUGAUUAAUUUGUAUACCUACUUCAACAACAUAGUCUAUUAAAAUUUAAGACUCGUUUACUACAACUAGUUUUGGUCUACUACAAAACAAUAAUGGCUCUUUGUUUGGUCAUAAGGAAAGAUGAAGAAAAAAAAGAAGAGAAUUAUUGUGUGACUCAUCAUGUGUUUGGAGGAACGAGCAAUCCCACCUGUGUCUAUCCCCACCUCCCAUCGCUGCUUGUGCCGGUGGCGCUCAACUGCCUUGUCGCCCUGCUUGCUGUUCGCCACUCAUCGUCAGACCAACUUGCCGACUCAUUUUUAGGGUUUAGAGUUGAGGAAGAGUUCUAAACCCUAACCCGCCUCUAGUGAGGCGGAGGUGCAGGUGCCAACGCGACCGUUGUGUGGUGUCGCAAACCCAUAAUAACCGCGCUUUAGGCCCUGUUUAGUUCCUCACCAAAAAAAUUUUCAUCCAUCCCAUCGAAUCUUUGGACACAUGCAUGAAACAUUAAAUGUAGAUAAACAAAUAAACUAAUUACACAGUUUGGUUGAAAAUCGCGAGACGAAUCUUUUAAGACUAGUUAGUCCAUGAUUAGCCUUAAGUGCUACAGUAACCUACAUGUGCUAAUGACAGAUUAAUUAUACUUAAUAGAUUUGUCUUGCAGUUUUCAAACGAGCUAUGUAAUUUGUUUUUUUAUUAGUUUCUAAAAACCUCUCCAACAUGCUUCCGACAUAUCCGAUGUGACAUCAAAAAAUUUUCAUCCUCAAUCUAAACAGAGCCUUAGAGCUUGGGAAAGAAAAAAAAAUGAAAUAGUUUUUUUAAUUACAAAACGCAACAUGUGAAAGGAAUCGUACCACGUGUGGAUACUAAGCGAAUUCUAACAUAUGUGAAGGACUAAAAACGAACGACGCUCUGGUAUAUAAGAAGAGCCAGACAUACUUUCCCUCAUCAAAGCCGGGAAGAGAAAAAUAACUCCGAAAAGAAAGAGACGCCGAAAAUUCGAAGGGGAAGGGGAAAGCAAAGCAAAUGGCGGAGGCCGAGGGAAAAGCAAAGCAAAUGGCGGAGGGCCCGAGCAAGAUCGAAUCCAUGAGGAAGUGGGUCGUCGACCACAAGCUCCGAGCCGUAGGUAUGCCUCAUCAGCUUUCCCACGGAUUCGUUUUCUUCGCCCGGAUCUAGUUAUUCGGCGUUGGUUUCUGAUGUAUCCUAAAUCUCUGCAAUUUCUUUCUUACAUCUGUUUUUAAUGUUAUUAACGGAGUUUCGAAAUUUGUAGUAUGAAAAUCUAUCACGAAUUUAUGACCUAGUUAUUGUUUUCCUCGUGUAAUUUGGGGGAAAAGCAGUAUUUUAGAUUAUUCCACCUGCUGGAUGCAAAGUGUUCUGAUUGUCGCGAUGUUUCUUUUUCUUGAGAAAAGGUUGCCUCUGGCUAGGUGGGAUCAGCAGUUCGAUCGCCUACAACUGGUCGCGGCCCAAUAUGAAGACUAGCGUCAAGAUCAUCCACGCAAGGUUUGUUUCAUUUCCCAUGUAGUUUCACUACGUUUCUGAGUGUUUAUCAUUACAAUGUAGGCAGUCUUGUCUAUCAUAGGCAAGAUACUGCAUUCGAUUCUUUUUUUUUCUUGAUGAAGAUGCAAUUAACUAGAUGGUUUUGACCAUUUCUUAGCAAACUAUGGUUUCUAAAUGCUACAACUACCACAGCUAAAAAGGUUGGUUUUUCAUAUGUGUGAUGUGUGAACGAUUGUUUCCUGAAACGCCAAGGAGCUAAAUGUGAAUUAUGAACAGACCCAGUCAACUUAGAUUUUAGCUAUAUCUAUAUGAAGCUUGGGAAGACUUCCCUUAUGUGAGUUUAUGGAAAUUCCUGUAAGGAAAUAACUUAAUAUGCAUAUUCAGCUUUGUAAUUGCUAACAUAUCAGCCACAGUUGGUUGGUAGGGCUUAUUUAACAUCAGAGGGAAAGGAUAACGAUCAGGCAAAUUUUGGAUUUCUCUUACUGACUGCAGGAAAAUUGCUAUUUUUAUUUGUUGUAAUUGUUUCCAAGUGAUUCUAAAAUAGGUGGUGUUCGGCAUAAUUGCAGUGCAUGGGUUUAUAAGGCUGCACAGUUGUUUGUUCUGUGAAAGGUUUAGUUUCACAGUUUUUGUUCAGGUUUGGGUGUCAGACUGAUAGCAUUAUGCUAUUUUGUUCAAGGAGCAGUUUAACUCCAGAUCAUUCUGGAUGGAAGUUAAACUUUAGGAGCUUAUUUUUUUGAAACAAAACUUUAUGAGCUUAUUAGUUGUUGUGCACUUGCACUUGAUGAUCCACUUAUUUUUGUUAGGUAUACAGACUUUAUGUGUUCCUUUCUGUUGUUAGUAAUUUAUUAGGUUCUUGCUAGUUUGCUGGUAUUUGCUUGAUACAAGUGCAGGCUGUAUAAGUGGUACUUUAGGCAACCUCUUGUCACUUGUAAAGUUGGAAGAGUAUCAAGCUCUGUCUGUUUAUCUGCGCACCUCAAUGCAUUUGCUUAUGCUCAUCGACCACCCAGCCUAGAAAGAACCUCAGCAAAUAGCGCCGUCCGAUCCUUAAUGAGAAUGAGUGUCCUACUUUAGGUUCGAAUAUUCUUUACCUAUAAAACUGCACUCUUUAGCUGCCAAUCCUAAUUGUUAAUUGGAGCUGAACAUGUGUUUGGCACUUUGUCUGUGUGUGCACUAUGGUCACAUCACCAAACUCAGCACAUGUUUGAUAUGUCUCUACUCCUGCCAACAUUAAGCAGAUGUUGCACGUUUUUGUGCCAUAUGUGACCAAACCAGACUGCCGCCAUAUUGAUGGCCCCAGUUUUUGGCAAUUUUUGUAGGGCUCUGGUGAUGAAAUUGGUGGAUCAAAAUGCCAAAUUUAAUUUCUAAUAUGUGGAUCUUCAAUGUUUUUCCAACUUUGCAAGCUUAGUUACCACAGUUUUAGUCCGUUGAUGCAUAGAACUGCAUAGGAAAGAUCAAAUCCUUGAUAAUCUUUCUUCUUUCACCGUGGCUCUUGAAAAGGGGCAGCAAUCUUGCCCCCAAUGCAGUAUGCAAAAAGGAUAUUUAAAUAAACAUAGAUUUUUUUGGAUAGAAUAUUAUGGACUCUUUAGAAGCUUUCUGUUCAUUUUGAUAGUUGUGUUUGGGUCUUAGCUCUUCAUAUGUUCAUGUAACACGUGUCAUCUUUCACUAUUUAUUUGCCUCUUAGGCUCCUUUUUAGUGCAAAUAUGUGAUGUAAUUCAUUGUGCUUUCUUCAUUGGCACUUCUUACCUUUCACUGUGCUCAAUAGAUCUGUUUAGAACAUGUUGAGGAUUUUAAAAAGAUAGUUUGCAUGUAAAUUUGGUACAAGCAUCCAACAGCAAAUUUGUAUGCUACUUUCUCCAUCCACAAAUAGAUGCAAUUCUCACAUUUCGAGGAGUCAAACGAUUUAAAGUUUGACCUAAUUAUAUAAAAAAGUACUAAUAUUUAUGACACAAAAGAAGUACCAUUAAAUUAACAAGAAAUGUAUUUUCGUUGUAGACCUUGCUAGAGACUAUUCACUUUUGACUAAUCCCAUAGUUGUAUCCUUUUGUGGACGGAGGGAGUAUUUGUUUUUUAGAUUACUGUUGCCUUGAGUGGGAAACCAUCCAAAGGCUGGAUGAAUGCCCGGAGCACCCAUUGCUGCCCAUAGGACAUAGCCAUUUCAUGUAUUGUGGUCGUGGAGUAUAGAAAUGGUAGCUCUUUUAGUAAAUUUUACUUCUAACUGGACUCAAUUAUGCUAAUUAUACUGUUGAUUUUUGCAGGUUGCAUGCACAAGGUCUAACCCUAGCUGCAUUAGUUGGUUCUGCAUGCGUGGAGUACUAUGACAAUAAGUAUGGUUCUUCUGGGCCAAAGGUGGACAAAUACACAAGCCAAUACCUGGCCCAUGCGCAUAAAGAUUAAGAUCUCCAUGUUGGUUCCUGCAUACCGGAUUAAUUUUGGACUCAACUCUGGGUGCUCAUGACCCGCCCGUCGAUGCUGGAUGUUUAUUCUUUUUGUUGUCUUAUUAAUUACAAAUUGAUGGUGUACUUACCAGGGAAAUGAUAAUGAGGGUAUAAUGCAGAUAUUGUCGUAUCUAACCUCACUUUGUUGACUCUCAGCAUCUUUGAAUAUUUUUAUAUUUUUUGAGAAAAGGAAAGGAGAUCCUGAUUUGUGCCUGAAUUUUGAAUUCUCUGUGCCCUGUAACUUUUGUUCUCUGUUCCUGUGCUUUAUGAUUACAAGGCAAAUGCAAAAAAGUUUUUAAGUUGAUAAUGUGGAGAUCGUGGAUUUGUAUGAUUAGGAUAUCAGAAUAGGAUUGUCUUGAACUUAUCAGCACAAUCUAUCAGUUUCUAUUUGCUUGAACUUAUCAGCACAAUCUAUUAGGUUGAUCGCACAAAAAAAAGGACAAUCUAUCAGGUAUAAUAUAAUGUUUUUUCUCCCAACAAAUAAGCCGAAUAAACACUAAUUGUUGUGUCACACUGAAUUUGUGUUGUCGCUUCACGUCUCUUGGAUCAAAGAUGCCCUUUUUAUGAAUCGACACGUCUCUUGGACAAAGAUGCCUUUUAUGAAUCAACGUACACAACGUAGACGGCAAUAGGCUGAUGUUGAUUUGACUUGAAAAUAAGUCCAUAAAAUCAUGCAACGCAAUUGUUCUUCUACACUCAGCCUCACAAUUGACAAGUUUUUACUUUACCCUGAAAAAUUAGUUCUCAAAUAUGUGAACUGAUACGUACACAGUGUAUUUAGGCCAUGUUUGAUUAGACUUGAUUUUUUUAUCACCCCAUCACAUCAAAUAUUUUGACACGUGCAUAAAGUACUAAAUAUAUAUUAUUUGCAAAAUUAAAACAACAGCUAGAGGAUAAUUUGCGAAUCUUUUGAGCCCAAUUAGUUCAUAAUUAGACAAUAAUUGUCAAAUAAAACGAAAUGCUACAGUGCCUGUCAAAUUUUAUCACUCCAAUCAAACACCCCCUUAUUUUCAUGGGAGACACAUUGGAUGAGCUAGAGUUUCACAAAUUAUGUCACCAAGGUGGCAAGGUCUAAUUGGCCUAUGUGUAUCCUCUUAAAAUUUGCAUGCCAGUAGCUCUUAACAUCUGUUAGCAGCUUUCACCUUACUGAUAGGUGCUAAUACGAUAAUAGGUAGCACACCUUAGCAGAUGACUUUUGAUACAAGGCUUAGAUGCGAGCUAUUGGCACAUUAGAUCCGAAUAUGACCUAAGCUAUGUUACUCUUCUUUAGAUAACGUGUUAGUGCAAAGUUUGGAGAACUUUUCACUUAAAUGGGCAAGUGCCACAUGCUUCAGAGAGCUUUCUGAUUUUAGAUGAGCUAGGGAUGGUAGACCUACGUAAACCCUAGAAGAUCAUUUGGUGGUGGCAUACUUAGUUCCAUCACUAGGGGCCAAUUUGUUUCUAUGGGAACAGGGACUAGAGACUUUAGUCCCUUCGAACCAAACAGGAGGAACUAAAAUAGAAACUAGAGACUAAUGGGUAGAAGUCCCUUGAGGUGAGGUUUAUUGGGACUUAUGAGACCAACUUUACAUCCCAUACCCCUCCCUCUCUCUCUCUCUCUCUCUCUCUCUCUCUCUCUCUCUCUCUCUCUCUCUCUCUCUCUCUCUCUCUCUCUCUCUCCUUCCUCACAGUCUCUCUCCUCCCCCACCCGAUGCGUCGCCCACCCCACGCCGCCCGAUGUGCCGCGCCCGCCCCACGCUGGCUGGGCCUCCCACCUUGCCAGUGCCGCACCCCACACUGGCCGAUGGCACAGAGCAAAGCCGAGCAGAGUGAAGGCAACGAUAACCUCGGCGCUCUAGCAACGCAGUGAUAGCAGAGAAGGGCGAGGAGGAGAGAGCAGGGGCGCAGGGCGGUGCUUGGCUCCGACGGACUCAAGGUCCGAGGAUGGCAGCGACGGUGAGGCAUUCGGCACCGGCGAACUAGAGGAAGGAGAGAGAAAGAGAAUAGAAGGGAGGGGCGUUUUGGUCUUUGUUCAGCAGCUUUAAUGCCCUUUAGUCCCUUUUAGUCUCUAGAACCAAACAAGUUAUUUAGUCCCUCUUUAGUCCUCUUUUAGUCUCUAGUCCCUAGUCCUUGGAACCAAACAAGCCCUAAUUAUAUGCAUCUAAAAUUCUAAAUGCCACAUGCUUGAGAGAACUUCUGAUUUUAGAUGAGCUAGGGAUGGGAGACCUAUGUAAACCCUAGAAGAUCAUCUGGUGGUGGCAUACUUAGUUCCAUCACUAGGGGCCAAUUUGUUUCUAUGGGAACAGGGACUAGAGACUUUAGUCCCUUUGAACCAAACAUGAGGGACUAAAAUAGAAACUAGAGACUAAUGAGUAGAAGUCCCUUGAGGUGAGGUUUAUUGGGACUUAUGAGACCAAAUUUACAGCCCAUACCCCUCCCUCUCCUCCCUCAAAGUCUCUCUCCUCCCCCACCUGAUGCGUCGCCCACUCCACGCCGCCCGAUGUGCUGCGCCCGCCCCACGCCGGUUGGGCCUCCCACCUCGCCAGCGCCGCACCCCACACUAGCCGAUGGCACAGAGCAAAGCUGAGCAGAGUGAGGGCGACAAUAACCUCGGCGCUCCGGCAACACGGUGACAGCAGAGAAGGGCAAGACAGAGAGAGCAGGGGCGCAGGGUGGUGCUUGGCUCUAACAGACUCAAAGGCCGAGGAUGACAGCGGCGGUGAGGGAUUCAGCACCAGCAAACCAGAGGAAGGAGAGAGAGAAAGAGAAUAGAAGGGAGGGGUGUUUUGGUCUUUGUUCAACAACUUUAAUGCCCUUUAGUCCCUUUUAGUCUCUAGAACCAAACAAGUUAUUUAGUCCCUCUUUUAGUCUUUAGUCCCUAGUCCUUGGAACCAAACAAGCCCUAAUUAUAUGCAUCUAAAAUUCUAAAGAUCACCUCCUUUCGCCCGUGCUAGUAAAUUGUUCUGUUCUUUGCACAUAAUCGCAAAAUGUUGAUAUGCAAAAUCUUCUUUUUCUAGUGUAGAGAUGAUGCACAUCCUUCUUUACCGGACCCUUAUCUAUCUUAUGUAUCUUCAAUGAAUAUAUAUCACAUCGUAGAUAUGGUUCAACGAUGAGUCAAGUCAAGUUGAGCUAUUUUUUUCUACGAUGACUUUAGUUAUCGCCGUGAUGAGAUCGUUGUUACAGGCAUCAACUUCAUCAACAAACGGCCAAAUCAUGGCCUUUAUUUGAAAGGGGAGGGGUGCUUCUGGGAGCCCCCUACAAGGACAACGACUAUGGAUCCUCGAUCUCAUCAUUGAUGGUCGCAGAGAGGAUUUCAAGCUAUUUGAGGUGAUGAAUCUGCAUCCUAUGUCGUAUCUGACGAUGCAACUGCUGAUAUUCUUUCGGCGAUUUAGAUACAUUUUGGAUUGGUUCCAAAGUGGUGAAUCUUACGGUAUGUCCAAUGUUUGGAGUUGGUCGUUGGAUUCGACAUAAGGACUACACUUUGGCUCAAACGUUUGAGGGAAGUCAUUGAGAAGAAAAUAAAGAAAGAAUCUGGAUAAAAUAUUAUGUAUUUUUUAUUUUAGUUUUUUUAUGUGUAAUUUGGGGAUAUACUAUACCAAGAAUUACUACAAGUCCCUCUCCCCUUGGGAAAAAAAUGAGCACAAGAUAGACAUACCCAAUGGAACUUAAGAUUGACAAAUCCAUAUAAUUCACCAUGUUGUAGUUGUAAAAAUGACCAGUCAUAUUAUUAUAAGAGUAAAAUGCACACCUAAGUCCUCAGACUUUGUGGGGGCAUUUCUAUCUAUGUCUUCAAACUAAAAAAAAUCUAUUUAGGUCUCCGAUCUAUUGCAGCCGUGCAGCAAAGCAAAGGUCCAAAACUCACUAUGUGAGUACCCGAUGAGAAUACCUUGAAAGUUUAAUGACCCCUGUGUAUUUUAGUUCUUAUUAUAAGGCCUUGUUGAGUUCACCCAAAAAUAAAUAAAAUUUUAAGAUUCCACGUCACAUCGAAUCUUAUGGCACAUGCAUGAAGCAUUAAAUAUAGACGAAAACAAAACUAAUUGCAUAGUUUGCCUGUAAAUCGCGAGAUGAAAUCUUUUAAGGCUAUUUAGUCCAUGAUUGAACAAUAAUUGACAAAUAAAAACGAAAGUACCAUAAUACCUAAAACCAAAAAAAAAUGGAACUGGCCUAACUCGAUGAACCCAGAUGAGAUGGUUUUGGUCACGUUCUGACAGCUCGAGAGGAAUAUUGUUGGAUGUCUUUGGCCCUGUUUGGUUGCUUUUGUUUCUUUUUAACUACCAUCAUAUUAAAUGUUUGAACACAUGCAUGAAGUACUAAAUAUAGACUAUUUAUAAAACUAAAAAUAAAAUUAGAAAAUAAUUUAUGAGACAAAUCUUUUAAACCUAAUUAAUCUAUAAUUAAACACUAAUUGUCAAACAAAAUAAAAAAUACUACAUUCUCUAUUAAAUUUUAAUACCCAACCAAACAUCUCCGGUUGUUCGAGAAGUUUCAGUAUAUAUACUGUCUUCCUUAUUUAUAGUUAGAGAUAGAAGCAGGUUAACCUACGAGCCUAUACAAAUUUAAUAGCACUUAUAAUUAAUUUUUUAAGUGGAGGGAUGAGCUAACACCCUCUUGCUUCAUUAUUUGUAUAAACUUCUUGUGAAAGAUUUGUACUCCCUCCGUCCACGAAAGAAUCAAUUCCUAGGAUCCGUGGCAGUCAAACUUUUUAAAGUUUGACUAACUUUAUAGAAAAGAGUAACAACAUCUAUAAUAUAAAAUGCACAUUAUAUGAAAAUAUAUUCUAUGAUGAAUCUAAUAAUACUAAUUUGAUACUAUAAAUCUUAGCAUUUUUUUCUAGAAAUUUGGUCAAAGUUUAAAAAAUUUGACUUAGAACAACUCUAGAAAUUGACUCUUUCGUGCACGGACGGAGUACCAUUUUCAUGUGCCUUGCCUCCGUCCGAUGCUCGAGGCGCUACGAUGACCUCCAUAGAACCUGACAGGCGGGCCCGUCACAUUCACCUGGCGCAUCCCCCUCCUGGAACCUUUCCCGCCUUCCCGGGAGGCGGCGGCUCGUUGUAGGAUGCCACGCCCACACCGAUGCGGACUCCGGGAACCAUCGGUUCGGCCCUCGCCCGCUUCGGCGCGUCGCGGUCGCUGCUCGCCGGAGCCCACCUCCACUCCCACCUCCUCAAGUCCGGCCUUCUCGCCAGCUACAGCAACCACCUCCUCUCUUUCUACUCCAGAUGCCGCCUCCCGAGCGCCGCACGCGCGGUGUUCGACGAAAUCCCUGACCCGUGCCACGUCUCUUGGUCCUCGCUCGUCACCGCCUACUCCAACAACGGCAUGCCGCGGGACGCACUCUGGGCGUUUCGGUCCAUGCGCGGGCGUGGCGUCCCUUGCAACGAGUACGCGCUCCCCAUCGUGCUCAAGUGUGCACCGGAUGUCAGGUUCGGCGCGCAGGUGCACGCACUGGCUGUGGCCACGAGGCUCAUCCAGGACGUCUUCGUCACCAACGCACUUGUGGCCAUGUAUGGUGGGUUCGGCAUGGUGGAUGAGGCCAAGAGGAUGUUCGAUGAGCCUGGAGGCGAGAGGAACGCCGUUUCUUGGAACGGCAUGAUAUCGGCGUACGUCAAGAAUGACCGGUGCAGGGAUGCCGUCGGGGUGUUCCGAGAAAUGGUGUGGAGUGGGGAGCGGCCGAACGAGUUUGGGUUCUCGUGUGUAGUGAACGCGUGCACAGGAUCGAGGGAUUGGGAGACUGGGAGGCAGGUGCACGGCAUGGUGGUGAGGACGGGAUAUGACAAGGAUGUGUUCACAGCAAAUGCUCUGGUUGACAUGUACUCGAAGCUGGGAGACAUUGAAAUGGCAGCGGUGGUUUUUGAGAAGAUACCUGCAGCAGACGUUGUCUCAUGGAAUGCUCUCAUUGCUGGGUGUGUAACUCAUGGGCAUGAUCACCGUGCACUGGAGCUGCUACUACAGAUGAAGCCUUUAGGAGUGGUGCCCAAUGUGUUCACGUUAUCUAGUGUUCUCAAGGCUUGUGCUGGUGCUGGUGCAUUCAAUUUGGGCCGGCAAAUCCAUGGGUUUAUGAUCAAGGCUGAUGCAGAUUCUGAUGAGUUUGUUGCUGUUGGCCUUGUUGACAUGUACGCAAAGGAUGGAUUCUUGGAUGACGCGAGGAAGGUGUUUGAUUUCAUGCCCCGAAGGGAUUUGAUUUUAUGGAAUGCACUGAUCUCAGGCUGCUCUCAUGACGGACGGCAUGGUGAGGUUCUGUCACUCUUUCAUAGGAUGAGGAAGGAGGGGCUUGACCUUGAUGUCAAUAGGACGACACUGGCUGCUGUUCUCAAGUCAACGGCGAGCUUGGAAGCAAUCUGUCACACAAAACAGGUUCAUGCUCUUGCAGAGAAGAUAGGGCUCCUAUCUGACUCUCAUGUCGUCAAUGGACUUAUUGAUUCAUACUGGAAGUGUGGUCGACUCGAUUAUGCGAUUAAGGUUUUUGAAGAAAGCUGUUCUGAUGACAUUAUAUCUUCUACGUCCAUGAUGACAGCUCUCUCACAGUGCGACCAUGGUGAGGAUGCAAUAAAGCUGUUUGUGCAGAUGUUAAGAAAAGGCCUCGAACCUGAUUCUUUUGUACUAAGUAGCCUCCUGAAUGCUUGUGCUAGUCUGUCAGCCUAUGAACAAGGGAAGCAAGUGCAUGCUCAUCUGAUUAAGAGGCAGUUCACAUCAGAUGUGUUUGCAGGGAAUGCUCUUGUGUACACUUAUGCAAAGUGUGGGAGCAUAGAGGAUGCAGACAUGGCAUUCUCUGGCCUGCCGGAGAAGGGAGUUGUCUCAUGGUCUGCAAUGAUUGGAGGGCUUGCACAGCAUGGACAUGGGAAGAGAGCAUUGGAAUUGUUCCAUAGAAUGCUCGAUGAGGGCGUUGCCCCAAACAACAUCACAUUGACCAGUGUUCUCUCUGCUUGUAACCAUGCUGGGCUUGUUGAUGACGCAAAGAAAUACUUUGAAUCUAUGAAGGAGGCGUUUGGAAUUGACAGGACUGAGGAACAUUACGCAUGCAUGAUUGAUAUUCUUGGCCGUGCAGGGAAACUAAAGGAUGCUAUGGAGCUUGUCAACAACAUGCCAUUCCAAGCGAAUGCUGCAGUUUGGGGUGCACUUCUAGGAGCCUCAAGAGUACACCGAGAUCCAGAGCUGGGAAGGAUGGCAGCUGAGAAGCUCUUCACCCUAGAACCUGAGAAGUCUGGCACACAUGUCCUGCUUGCAAACACUUAUGCUUCAGCAGGCAUGUGGGAUGAAAUGGCUAAGGUGCGGAAGUUAAUGAAAGACAGUAAUGUCAAGAAGGAGCCUGCCAUGAGCUGGGUUGAGAUAAAGGACAAGGUGCAUACUUUCAUUGUUGGUGACAAGAGCCAUCCUAGGACAAGAGAGAUAUAUGGAAAGCUAGCCGAAUUGGGAGAUCUGAUGAAUAAAGCUGGUUAUGUUCCAAAUGUGGAGGUUGAUCUGCAUGACGUAGACAGAAGCCAAAAGGAGCUGCUUCUUUCUCACCAUAGUGAGAGGCUGGCCGUUGCGUUUGCGCUGAUCAGCACCCCAUCUGGGGCCCCAAUCAGAGUCAAGAAGAAUCUGCGCAUAUGCAGAGACUGCCAUGUUGCAUUCAAGUUUAUUUCAAAGAUUGUUUCAAGGGAGAUUAUCAUCAGGGAUAUCAACCGGUUCCAUCAUUUCACAGAUGGGACAUGUUCUUGUGGUGAUUAUUGGUGAAAAUGGUUCAGCAGAUGAAAAUUUUGCAGCUUGUUGAGAAUUCUGAUGUUUAGAGCAGUUACAUGCCUUCAUGGAGGCUUAUAGUUUCACAAGAUUUUGUAGCCAAUCAGAUGAGUGAUGCAAUGCAUUUUUUUGUUUGGCAUGCCCAUAGCCAUGCAUUUUUGCAGUUAAAUCUGCAGUAGGCACUAAGCCAUAGCCGUUGUAGCAUAGCAAUAUUCCUCAUGUCAUGGCUUUUUAAACACUCCCAUUCAAUUAUUUUGGAUACAUCAAUGGGGACAAAAAACUUCAGUCAGAUCUUUCCCUAAGUAUUGGAUUCAGCUAUUGACAGUCUUCUCUCUGUGUAAUGUGUUUCUAUUUCUAUGGGAGGGGGCCGACCACUAUGUGUCUAUGUCAAUUGAAACGUUUGCCCAUUGAGAAGGAACCUUCAUUGCUUAAUAUUCAUGUGUAAACGCACAUCCUUCACAUAGCAAAACAGUGAACAAGAUUAGUUUCUUUUCUUUUUCUUUUUUUUUUGAAAGAGAGACUGUGGAGUAGAGCUCCCCAGUAUAUUAAACGCACAUCCUUCACAUAGCAAAACAGUGAACAAGAUUAGUUUCUUUUUUUUUUUUGAAAGAGAGACUGUGGAGUAGAGCUCCCCAGUAUAUUCGGCUUCACCCUAGCAUGAAUCAACAAAUAUAUUUUUUUUUCUUUUUUUAUUUCAAUUUCAAAUUAUGCCAGAUUGCUUGCCAAAAUUUACAGAUCUGUGAGCCACUCUGAUACAUACCAUUCUUACUUCUAAAACUGUUUUCUUGGAAAGAAAAAAUGCAUAUAUAAUAUGAUAUGAUGAGUUCGGAUUAAGUUGGUUAACAAAAUAGACAUGCUUCGUGAGAAAUGGUCUUCCACAGAUAUACAUAUACAUAUGCUCUACUGCCCUAGAUAAACUCACAGAUCACAAAUCAUGUGGGCAUGUAGCUAGAUAUCAAUGGCAGCAAAAAAGUCAUUUCCAAAUAAUAUAUACAUGAGCUCAUCACAGCCCAUAAGUUCUGCAUUCCAGGAAUACUCAGUGACAACUUAUAGAACUCUUCUUCUAUAGAAGGCUGACAAGGAGGUCGUAGCUGGUGUAUCUAAGCACCGAGGGGGACACAGACUACAAUCUAUUGUUCAUAGUUGAUUGAUUAUAUAGAUCCACAAAAGUAGACACACAAGUCCAAGAAUCCUCUAUGAGUAACACUAAGUUGCCUAUGCCUUCCUAGCUCCGCUUGUUUGUUGUGGGUUGGCUCUAGGAUCCAGCCUUCUCAAUCUCAUAUUGCGAACAAUAGCAGCUUGCUUCUGGCGAUGGCUGUAGCUCUUUCUUUUGCUGCACAGACAAAUGAGAGUUUGAAGUUCAAUAGAAAAGAAGGGAUAUGAAGUGCAAGCUUCCAAUCUGCCAUCUUAGCAAGAAUUUAAGGCAUCAUGCCAGAUAGUCAGCAAGAUUACACUGAAAAGGGACAAAAUCAAAGUUUUUUUGGCUCCUUUUCCUGUAGACCCAUCAUCUAUAAAUAGCUUAUGCAGUAUCUAUUCCAAAAAUAUAAAAUAUACUCAGAUCUACAAGAAUUAUUAUGCAGAUACUUUAGUACCUAAUUGAGACAGUUUUUUACCUAUCUAUGCAUAUAUAAUGUGAAAGAGAAAAGGAAUAUGGAAUACCUGAUAAAAAUAAGGCCAGCUGUAAGAACCAUUCCUCCAAUUGCCCAUGAAACUCUUUCACCGACAGGCAUUUCUCUUGCCCAUCUCUGAAAAUCUUGAACAUCCCAUGAAGCCACACCACUUAAUGUUGGACGUUCUUUUGAAGAAGUCCAUGAAUCAGAGAUGGAAUCCAAACUUGCUUUCCCACCAUAGCAGAAAGUGUCAUCAACUCCAUCAGAGCUGGUCUCAGAAACUUGAACAGAGAAACCAGCAAGACGGCAUAACUCUGUGCCAUUAGAGACCCAUUUAUGUGCUUUGCCACAAAGGAUGUCACCUAAACCACAAGGAGACAAGGCCUGACAUUGAAGUAACGAGCAUAUUCAGAACCAAACCAUGAAAUCAUAAUCAACAAAAAAAGGUCACGAGAUGAAGCUAAAAAUCUCUUAGCACAAGAAAAGGAAACUUCAGCAGAAUCAACAGCUAUUCAGAAUGUAGACAACAGACGGGGGCUAGAACAUGAUUGUUUAGUGUAUAAUUAUAAUCUGACCAUGGAACUAUCAAGCUUAAUCUAGCAGCAGCACUUGUACUUGUGUGUCAGUACAUGUUUGAGAUAUCAGUACCCACUUGUCUCAAUCAUGUCUCUUAAUCAGAGGGUUUACCUGUGUUUUCAUAUCUACAGAGAAGUAUGAUUCUGAACAAGCUUUGAAGACCAUAUCACAGAAUGAUGCGCAUACAACAGGAGGUCCAGGUCUGACACCCACUCGUGGAUCACAUAUUGAGCACUCGAGCAAUUCCCACAAAUGAAUACAUUCUUGACUGCCUUCACCAGUCAAUGCAAGGUUUCUCACUGAGACCAGAGCAGGAAAUGUCUGCGUCACAUCGCAACAUGUAUUCUGACGGAAUAUCCUACAAAGUGCUAGAUCUCUGCGCCCCUUGGGUGCUCUUCCUGGAGGCUUGCCUUCAGACGAGAAGGCAGGGAACCGUCCACCUGGUGAAACACAUACGCCUUUUGGUUGUCCUGGGGAGAAAAAAAAUCAAUAGACUAUCACUACCACAGUCAACACAUAAGGUAUGUGAUAUAAAUCAAUAGACUAUCACUACCACAGUCAUCUACUGAGAAAUUAGAAGCUUCAUCUAUCUUAAAUUCUUAACAAGGAGCAAUCAUUCAAUCUACAACCACAACAUUCAUAUAUAACCAAGACAAUCUGCAUAGCUCUUGCUCAUCAGUCUUACAACAACCGGCAGUAGCAUCAAGAAACUGAACUAUAUGACAGUAAGGUAAACAAAGCCUGCCACAGUACAGCUUAACUUAAUACAGCAUGUAACAAAGCCUGUAACAGUACAGCUUUCACUUGAUAUGAUCAUAGCUCAUCUAACAGUUUCCAUUCCAAACCCGUCCUCUGCGUUAUGAAUUAUGAAACUUCGCAAAAUGCCAACAGUAACCUCAAAGUAAGACCUAAAGCGCGCACAGGUAGCCAUCUCUAAACUUCGCAAAAUGCCAACAGUAACCUCUCGUUUUGCUAUAGUUUAAACUUGUAACUCCAAGACUAAUUAAACCUACAUGCCAACACAAUCGGAGCAACCAAAUACACGACCAGCAAGGAUCCAUUCAAGGCAACAAGAAUCUCUAGCACCACAUGCGAAAACUUAGGGGAAAAAAACACUUCCCUCCACUGGUUAAGUUAUUACACAGACUAAAAAUGAGAGAUCUCGAGGACUCGCAGGAGCGGCGACUGUCCGUACCAGCUGACGCGAGCGGCGAGAGGAACAGGAGCACCAGGAGGAGAGCGAAACCGGUCGUCCUCCGCGGCCGCGUGGGAGAGCCCAUCGAAGCAGCCUGCCCGCUGGCCAGCCGGCGGCUGUGCUGCGGCGACGAGGGGGAACGGCCGGUCGGCGAAUCGAUGCGCUUCGGCGUCGUUGUCUGUGACUCUACCACCGUACAAGUCAACAGGCUCCUCCCCCGUUCGAGCAAUGGGCCGGAUGCGGCGGGAAGCCCAACAGAAAAAGACGGCCAGACCCAGCCGUUGCGUUUGUGUUGGAGAAAAGAGGCAGAAGCGUUAGUGCCACCUCGGCUACCGAGAGCGGAGCGCGGAGGGAGCGAGAUAUAAAAGAAGGGGCAGGACACCAGGGCAACUCAUACCUUUCUCGGCCUUUUGGCUAAGAUCAAGUGUAGUAUCUGUUCUUAUCAGUUUAAUAUCUGAUAUGUGGGCUAUGUGCCCACUUCGAUAUUAAAUUAUUUUUCGUGGGGGAGGACCCGUUACAGUGGCUUGCUACUGGGCCCCUCAAGUGUCGUCCAGCCGUUGCACUGCUGGCAGGGUCUGGCGCACCCCAACCAAAACAAUGCAAAACGUUGUUUCUUAAACUCUGGUUCUGGGCUUAGUCGGGUUUGUUACUGGGCCAGAGUUCGUUUUUUCUGUCAAUGGGCUUCAAAGAGAUUGAUUAUCUGGAAUUGAAAGCGAGAGUUUGAUUUCAUUAGCUGCAUUAGCACGGUGGUUACUUGUGCUAAUUCAGCAAAACACUAGCAAAAUAAUACUCCCUCAAACUUAUUUCAAGAAUCUUGGUCAAAUUUAUAUGAUAAAAUAAUUAUUAUUAUGAUACCAACUAAGUAUCAUUAGAUUGUUAAUUAUAUGAUACCAACUAAGUAUCAUUAGAUUUUUUUCUUAAUUAUAUUUUUAGAUUCUUAAUUAUAUGAUAUCAACUAAGUAUCAUUAGAUUUUUUCUUAAUUAUAUUUUUAUAAUAUACUCACUUUACGUUAUAAAUCUUAGUAUUUUUCUCUAUAAAUUUGGUCAAAUAUGAAAAUACUUUGACUCUCUAAGAUUCUUGUAAUGACUUACCAUUUGGAAUGGAGAAAGUAUUAUCCAACGGCAAAGUUUAUACACCCAGUCUGAGCAACGUUGAUCAAUGAACCAGCUUAUCUGUGUAUUUAAACACAUCUCACCCUUUUGCUCUAAUCUUUUUCGCAGCACGCGCGCAGAGUGGCCGAGCCGUAUGCUCUUGAGCUCAUAUCUUGCACAGUAUGAUAGAUAAAUAUAUAUGUCACACCGACACAGUAUUAUUAUUGCACAAGAUAGAAAUUAUACAAAUUAGAAUACAAAGAAGAGGAAGGAACUAAUAAUAAUAAGAAGAAAUUUCCCUCAAGGUGCACCGCAGGUACCGCCAAACUUGAACAGUGGACACAGAAUCAACUCCGGUCAGUGAUAUCCACCGUUGACGAACGCGGUUAGCCAAUCUGCAUUGAGAGACGUAAUAACAAAAGGCAGAGCCGGCCCGCUAACUGCUCGGUUGAUCCUGAUCCACUUCAUGAGGUGGUGGGGUGGGGCCCAAGAGCGGCUCCAAGUCAGUCAUGGCCAUCUUAUCCAGUGGGUCCAGCCAGACGCCACGCACGUACUACUCCUCCUUUUGUUGCGCCAGCGAUGGGUCCCACGGGGACGAGCUGUCAGAUACUAGCACACUGCCGGAGCGUGAUGACCUAUGCUCUCUGUCUCUUGGAUGAUUUCUCGCUCGUUCUGCUCCCAUGGCCAUCCAUGAAGAUCUGGCCCCACCCUACACGGCUACAUCUACACGGAGAAAACCUUGGUUUGUUCAGGCCGCGCUCAGUAGGCGACACGGCCGCCGCCGGCGGCUCGCCGGCUGCCCCGCACGGUGGCGGUACCGGCACCGGCACCCUCGCCGUUGCUGAGGGCGUCCUCGUCCAUGAAGAUCUGCCUGCACCGGCACUCCACGCUGCAGAACGCCCGGUCGCCUCUGCAUGCACAUCAUCACAUAUACACCGCCAGUCAAACACACGUACGGAGUACUUGUACAAAACAAAUUAAAACAAAGGCUGGCGCGCGAUCGAGAGACGGGCGCGGAGCGGAGCACAGCCUACUGCCUACCUGUACAUGUUGAUGUCCAUGCCCUCGGCGAGCUCUGCGUGGCACAGGCAGCAGCGCUGCAGGAAGGAGCCCGCGGCCGUCGGAGAGACAGGCGGAACCCGCUGCGGCGGCUGCUGCUUGUGGUUGUGGCUGGGGCCGUGGAUCACGAGGGUGGCCUUGCUGAUGAUCUGCGCCGCCGCCGCUGCCUUCCCCUUCCCGCAGGGGUGGCUCUUGCUGUGGGGCUCCAGGAGAACGCUCAGCCCGGCCAUGGAGCCAGCCAGAAGCGGCCCAGAGCAGAGUAAGACUAGCACCUACUAGUAGAUACAGCUGCUGUGGAUUGGAUGCAGGAUAGAUGCUCGAUCUAGCCUGUUUUUUUUUUCUUGGUUUCAAGAUCUCUGCUGUCUUCCUCGGAUCCUUUUGUGUGUGACGGAGAUAUUUUACUCCAUGGAAGGGGGGGUUGCCUGGUGCGCGCGUGUGUGUAUAUAUAAAGGCCGGAGGAAAGAGGAGGGUGUGCGUGGCAGCGUGGGGAGUGCUGCGUUGCACUUAGGAUUGAAAACGGAUAUGAUACGAAUGAAUAUGACCGGUAUUAUAUUUGUUUUUGUAUUUUUGGUUGGAUUUGGAUUCAAAUACAGAUAAUGUCAAUCAUAUCGGAUAAGGUAGGAUUAGAUGUCAAUAUUAUAAAUAUGUGAUUUAAGUAUUCGGAUACGGAUAUGGAUACGGUAUCGGAUGUUGAAUAUUCGGACUCGAAUACGGACAUAUCUAAAUCCCUCAAAACGAAUUUAGUAUAUCCAUACUGUUUUCAUCUCUUGCGCUUAGGCCGAGCAGGGUUAGCACUUAGCAGGCAGAUUUUGAUUGGAGAGUGAGUUCGCCGAUGCACCCCUAACACGACUAGCAACGUGUAAUAACACCUUAAAUAUUCCAUUGGGACUGUCCACACUAGUCCAUUAGUUAGUAAUCUCAACAGCUAAUCACAGUGGAGCUCCAUGGCUGCACACACUCAGCUCAGACCGUAGGUGUUCCAAAUGGUCCAGGCGUUCGCACAUCCAUUGCCAUGCAUGCACUGAUGAUGAUGCACACCAGGGCAAACAAUGAUCGACGCAUGGGGGCAAGCACCGUCCGAGCAGCAGGCAAAGGCUGCGGCCCGCGAAAGCUGCCCUGCUUGGCCCGCGAGUACUGCACAGUCAGUGACGUUCAAGGCUUCUUCCCGCUCUCCUCCCUCCACGUGUAGGUGACAGGACACUGUUGUCGCUUGUGGCGUGGCGUACGGAUCCACUGCUCCCGCAUGUGCUGUGGCCAGCCGUGCCCCCCUGCCCUCGGCCCCUAGCUGUUUGGUUCAAUGCUUCUGCCACGACCAUAGGACACUCAUCCGUAUGGUUUUUAGAUUUAGCCUUGUUUAGUUUCGAAAAGUGAAAAAUUUUCAGUACUGUAGCACUUUCGUUUGUUUGUGACAAAUAUUAUCCAAUUAUGGACUAACUAGGAUCAAAAGAUUCGUCUCGUGAUUUACAGCUAAACUGUGUAAUUAGUUUUUGUUUUCGUCUAUAUUUAAUGUUUCAUACAUGUGCCACAAGAUUCGAUGUGACGGAGAAUCUUGAAAACUUUUUGGUUUUCAGGGUGAACUAAACAAGGCCUUAGGGCUUGUUUAGAUGCAAAAUUUUUUGGAUUUUGACACUGUAGUAUUUUUGUUUUUAUUUGACAAACAUUGUCCAAUUAUGGAGUAACUAGACUUAAAAGAUUCGUCUCACGAUUUACAGACAAACUGUGUAAUUAGUUUUUAUUUUUAUCUAUAUUUAAUACUCCAUGCAUUUGUCGCAAGAUUCGAUAUGAUGGAAAAUCUUGUAAAGUUUUAGGUUUUUGGAUGCAUCUAAACAAGGCCUUAGGAGUACUCCUCUUCAGAUCGUUGUGCUACAUAUGCAUUACUCCUAAGACGAGUAUCCCAAUCAGGGCGAGUUCUCUGGCGUCUUUUGAAAUGAGAUGCACCAACCGUACGCUUCUAGCUGCAAAGCCAUGUGAUGAGGUCGUGGGGAAUCCAGGGGCAAUAAUACCAACAAAUUUUACAUGAAAAGAAAGAAAGAAAGACCUACUGGUCUCCGUCCACGAAAAAGAUACAUAAUUUUUACUAUGUAUGUAAACAUAACGUAUAGCAAAACAACUAGAAAAAUCAAAACAAUUUAGAAUUUGGAAUAGAGAGUAGGUCCUGGGUGCUUGAAAUACCCCUACAAAUUAAAGGUUGCACUCCAUAAUGCUCUUAGCGCUCCACACAUGACUGACGUUUCUAGGUAUAAAAAAACUUUGUAAAGCAAAAACUGUUAUAUGAUGAAAUGAGCGGUGUCUUGCUGUUUUGUUAAAAAUAGAAACGCCCAAUGCUGGCCUGUAAAUACAGUAUACACGAGUUUCCAAACAUCAGGCAGGAAUGGACAUAUAAUCUCUCACACAAUAAGGGUCUGUUUAGAUCCCAAAUCUUUACAUCCCAAAACUUUUGGCUGUAAACUUUACAUUCAAAUAGAUGUUUAGAUGCUUCUUAAUUUUUUUGGUCAACAAGACACAUGACACGGGUCCCUAAGCAAGUUUACACAGUUUUGGGGCUCCAAGGUCCCAAAUUCCAAAUCUUUACAGCUAAGUUUUACAAGCCUCUGUUUAGAUCAAUUCUUUCAAAAAGUGCUCAUUUCUUCAAAAAUUUUAGCUGUUUGGCUGCAUCUAAACAGGCCCUAAGCGUAGAGAGACGAGGCGGAAAAAACGAAACUUUUGAGAAAAAAAAAAACCAAACUAGUAGGGGGGCAGGACAAGAAGCGCAGCAGACGGGGCUACGGAGUUGGGUGGGCGCAGAGUGGUCGGGGGAUGCCGCAGCAGAAGCUGGUGCCCUCCAGCCCGCUGAAAGCGAAGGAGCGUACGGGAACGGGGACUACGGGCCACGCCCGUCUAGGCGUUUGGUGCGCGAGCUUACUGUUUCGACGUGGCGCUAUUAUCCAGAGGCCGGAGCCCCACAGCCCAUUGCAGAGACCAUGGUAAGGCGUAGCGUAGGACGGUAGGAGUAUCGGCGAAGGUUGUGUAUCGGUAUCGCAGCAUAAUUCAUUCAAGUUACAAUUUACCCAUUCAUGUUACAAUGUACAUAAAAACAUUGAUGUGCUUAAGCCUUGUUUAGUUGGUAAUUUUUUUUAGAUUCUAACACUGUAGCACUUUCGUUUAUAUUUAGUAAUUAUUAUUCAAAUAAUAGACUAAGUAGUCUCAAAAAAUUCAUCUCACAAAUUACAGAUUACAAAUAAACUAUGUAAUUAGUCAUUUUUUUUAUUUAUAUUUAAUACUUCAUGCAUAUGUUUAAAAAUUUGAUGUGACAGGAAUCUUGAAAAUUUUUUAGAACUAAACAAGACCUUAUUACUGUAAAGCACAGAACGUAAACACACAAUGUCAAUGACAACAUACACGCACGCACUCGCACACACUGACACACACUUGUUGGCAUUUUGCCCUCAACAACACCCUCAAAAAGCCUCAGGCAGGCACUAGCAGAGCAAGUGCCAAGACCCAAGCUAACGACCUCUACUUGUUAGUUGUUCCAUCACAUAACGAUUGACAUGGUAUACCAAAAAACCAAGCACACUCUGAAGAAAGGAAACGUGGCCUUCACAUUCCAGAUAGGUCCAGUGGAAAGGGAAGAAAGCCAGAAUUAUGGCGUCUUCACCAAACUUCAGGAUAAAAAAAAAAGAAAAGAAAACAAACAAUGCACAGUUUUCUUGAUUCAAAGAGUUGACAAACUGGUGAAAAACAUGUUACAAACACCAAACAAGGACCAACAUCUACGAGGAAAUACUGAAUGGUCACAGGCACAACUCAACUGACCCAGCAAGAAGACGUGGGAAAUUAAUUUAAUUGGGCCUUGCUUUGGUAAUAAUGACAAUAAAAAUGUCACCAGAUCGUUCCAUUAGAAAGAUUUGAUGCUUCGUGGUGCAGAUUGCAGAACGUCCAGAAGCUGCUUCUGUACCUGCUCAGUUUGACUCCCUCUGAAUACAAAUCCAGCUCGCCCUGUACAGGGUUUUGCAAAGAGAUGAGAAAAUGUUAGUGCUUGAAAUUGUUUUUUCCAAGAGACUAGCAUUUCUUGUUGCAAAGAUAUUAGCAUAACAGCAUGUAACAAAACCAGACCUGUUCCUCAGCUUUUCUCACAGAAAUCUUCCUGGUGGCCAUCAUUCUUCCAUUCAGUUUCAUCAUCUGCUUCUCCUGUGGCAUCAUUUUCAGCAUCACUUUCGCUAGCUGUUUCCCACUCAGAGUCAUCAGCCUCUUGACCAAACGCAUCGCUCGCAUCUCCUUCACAAUGGACACCACCAUGCUUCAGAGCUGCUUCCCUGAAUAGCCAAGCGGCACGCAUCUGCUUCUUCACCAAUCGCUCAGCAUAAUCAGGAACUUUGUUUUGCUUCAGGGAUAAGUCAGGAUCGUUUGACUGAGAGCACUCGUUUAUGAAAAGGAUUGCAUCCAACAAGCUCUCUUUUGCAAAACCAAGCAUAUCGUAUGCUUGAGCUCUUCUCCACAAACUCUUGGCAUGACGAUUCACAGGGCUAUGAAGGCACAAUGCUCGAGUAGCAUCGCUUAUGGCAGCCAAUGGCUGCUGCAGGAGAAGGUAACAUUGAGCUCGAUUGCUGUAUAGAACCACCCGCUCUUUCUUAGACUUCAUUGGACAUAGUGCAAGUGCUUCAGAGUAUUUCUCUGCAGCACCUGCAAUGUUCCCUGAAGAGAACAGCGAAUUGCCUUCCAACUUGACUACCAAUGCUGCAGCUUGUUUUAUAUGAAGAUCCUCCUUUGGCAUACUCUUUUCCAAUUUCAAACUUUGCUUGGAUCUCAAAAGCUCAUCAAUUUCUGCUUUGGUUUGAGCACUGAUUGCACCGCGUGAGUUCCCACUCUGUUGCAUACAUUCUUGGAGGACUGUGACAAUUGUGUCACCAAGUUUUUUAUAAUCACCCAGUGUCGAAAUAUCUGCUAAGUCUAUCAGUGUUGGCGCAACUUUAUCUAUAACCUGCACAAAGGGAGGAAAAAAAUAAGCAACUAGAGCUAAGAAAACUACAGUUAAUAGAUAGAGCUCCGCUAACUGAAUUGGGAUUGAACCAGAAAAAAAAAAACAUAUGUAUGCAUUCUAGCUCAAUGCUAUUUAAGGAAACCAUUGCAUAAUUACUCUUGAAACAUUCAAUUAGGAGGAAUUAAUUAUCCUGACCUGGUGUUUCAAAGAUUAGAUUAAUAUUCUUAUUUACUGUUUAUGAGGAACUCUGUUAUUUCUAUUCUGUUCUAGCCAUCAUUUCUAAGCUGAUGUGCAUAUUUCAAGCCUUAUCAGGCCUUAAACAUAACCAAUUUAAGCAAGCAAAAUGCAUUUCCCAAGAUCUUACCUUCUGACAGGUACUUGCAUCCUGCACUAACCAGAUCAGACAAUCAACUGCCAUGUAUUGCCAGUCAUCUGAAGAACGAGCAAUGUUACAUAAAGCAUCAAUAGUACCAGGAAUGUUAGCAACAUGACCUCGGCCAACUUUGCUCUGGCAGAUUGUUCUUAGCAAACCAACACCAGCAGGCGAGUUCUCAUUUACAAGUCCACCCCACAUUCCAGGUAACUUAACUAGAAAAUCGGGCUUACAAAUAUCAUGGAGGAAUUCAGGCUUAAAUGCAAAGCAGUUAAUGAGUUGCAAAGACCAGCACUGCAGUUGACUUGCCCAUUCCUCAGCUUUGCGGGAUUCCAUUUCCACACCACCCAUGCCACGAGUAAGAAGGUCGCAAUGGUAGCCAAGCCUUCGAUCCACAAAUUGGUAAAAGUGAGAGUACACAAUCUCUAGGGAGCUCGAAGCAAGUUGAAUGGCAAGUUCAAGUACUUCCCCAUGAUCAGCAACUGCAGGAAAUGUACUAGGAUAUGUAGCCAAAUGCCCCAAAGCUCUAACGGCAACUCUUUGCUCAACCCACGUCAGCCUACCUCUUAACAGUUCGACUAAUGGAGGUAUUACACCAGCACGAACAGCACGCUCUGCAAACUCCUCCAUAUUCAUUGUGUAUGAUCCAAUUAUGUGAGCUGCAUAAUAUGGGAUGUAAAUAUUUUGAUCAUGUGCAAGCCAACGCCUGUUUUUCAACCCUUUCCAUAUAAGAGCUGCCAUGCAUUCAAAUAUGCCCAAGUUGAUGAACUCGGGAUCAUUUGGGUGAGCCAUUGCUGUGUUCCAGAGACCACUAAUAGGGAGAACUUGACCAUCAUCAUCUUGGGAAGGAAGUUCCCUAAAGAACUUUAGCACACUUGCUCUUCGUUUACUUGGGUUUGCCUCCUUCAUGACACAAAAGAAACAUCCAGGAUAAGGGCAAUCAGAUUGUAUCUUGUCCAUUAUGGGAAGGGCAGCCAAUCGAUUCUAGACACUUCUUCAAUGACAACCUCAAUGAUCACACUUCAAACUGCAUCAGAACCAACCAAGCAAAUUAAAAAUUCUCCAAUGAACAAAUUAAAGGACAACAGGACGCAUUGUCAAUGUAGGAAACUAAUUGCAAGAAUAAGCAAACAACUAUGCCAUUUCAUGAAGUGUAUUCUUCCUAUAAGUAUCUGCUAACUUGGGGAGGGCCAGACUACAUAAAAGCGGUGAGUACAUCUGCUUGGUAACCAUCGGGAAGCAGAUCUGGAGCACAAGAAGCGUCUUCAGCAAAAUCAGGCAAGCACUAGAGUGUUGAGACUUCAGUGACUGAAUGACCAUACCAAAUUAUGAAAAAAAAAUGCAUAUAUCUCAAGAGAUGAUAAUAAGAUGUAUAAUUAAUUAAAUUAUUUAGACCAUCUGACUGAUGAUACUAGUGAAUAGAUCAACCUAAUUUGUUUGCUAUUUUAUUAACACUGGUUUAAGUUCUUAAAUAAGAAGCAGGAAUUUUCAAAAUAAAAUCAUCGAGUAUGCAUUUGUAGAAACUAACAUAACCAAAACAGAAAUCCAACCAGUUCACUAGGUUUUGUUGGUUUCAGGAACAUGGAAAAUGGGCAGUGGAUUCAACACUCAGGAAAGGGAUCCACCGACUUAAAAAAGUGAAGUGGUAGACACCAUCAGUCUAAGCUUCUCAUUCUCCGUCCCUCACUUUCAAAUUGCAUCUAGAGUUGGAAUAGAUCAAACUGAAGAGCGAGCUAUCAGCUGAAAUUUUGAGCCCAUCAUCCGAAAAUUUGAACUCGCAGCUUGAAAUUUCGAAAGCCUUGAGCGAGUAUCUGGAACUUGUAGCCACGGAAAGGAGCUCCAAAUAAUCGGAUAGCUGGAGACGGGGCUCAGCUGGAGAUUUGAAAAUCCCAGCCGCAAGCUGAACCUCAGGAGCUACCAAUCUAAACUAUGCACAGCGAAAAAUGGCACCUUACCAGCGCAUUCCAACGUGGCGGGACGCCUCCGUACGGCAAUGGUGGCGGUCGGCGCCGCUGGCCCGGGCGGCGCACGCGCUCGGUGGGGCGCCGGGGCAGUGCGGGGGCGGGGGCGGCGGCGGCGGCGGCCAAGCUAGGGUUUGGCGAGGGCGCGCGCGGAGUGGCAGCAGCUGGCCGCGGGAGCGGGGGAGGAGAGCUUGGAGGAGGGAAAUGGGCGAGCCCGGCGGAUCUCCUCCCCGAACACGACGACGACGAUGACAGCGGCCGGGGGGAGUCGCGCGCGCGCGUGCGGUUUGGGGAACAUAAUUGGGCGGAGGGGCGUGGGCGCGACGGGAGUGCGCGAUGAUGGCGACGGACGGACUCGCCGGUCCCACUCCCAGGUCCCCGUCUCGCGCGUCGACGGCCACGAUGGAGCGGCGCCGGGGGAGGGGUCGAGUCGAGGUCGAUCCGUCUGGUCCAGUCCAGCCAUGUGACGAGCGACGGACGGACGGACGGACGGGCCUGGCCACCCACCCAACCGACCCGACCCACACACCGGUGCCGCGCAACCGCACCGCACGGGCACGGUCCCCCAGGCCGGUCCUCGGCUCCUCCCCGCGCCCGUCACGCUGCUCCCGUGCGUUGCACCAGCCAGCCGCCGACAGGCGCUGACGGGACCGCGAGGGCCGGGGGGGUCCAUGUCUCCAUCCAUGAUUAUGCAGAGCAUCAGAGUCCCCAUCCCGUCAAACUAAAUGGCCCACCUCAGCAUGAGCAACGCAAUUUCUCCACCCGCGACGCUGCUGGUACUCCACAGAUGUGGUGCAAACCGUGCAAUUUUACCGCGGCAGGACGAUCGAUUCGCGCAUGGAAUCAUUGGCGAGCUCAGCCCAGCCCAGACCCCAGAGGUUUGGCGCUAAUCUGUUUUGAAUCCCGUCCUGGCCUUCCAGCGCGAUGCGGAUGCGGCCGUGCACUGCAACUCUGGAAUGGCGACAAGGCGGGCAGGUUACCUGGGAUGUUGCGACCUUUUUUUUUUUUUUUUUUUUUUUUGCUGCUGAUUGGUGCUCGCAUGUUUCCGCACCCAAAAAAAAAAAAUGGAGGCCAGGCCAGGGUAAAAGCCGGAUAUAGGAAGGCGUAAACAAAGGACGGGGAGCAUGGAACUUCAGGUAAAUUACGGGCCGCUCUCGUCCUUUUUGCGAUCCCCUCCUUUUUGGCACUUCGCGCUUGGCGGUGUGUGAUGCCCUAGUACGCUGUACUACGCGCCAUUGUUGAUUCAACUGUUUUUUCUCUAGGCGUUUUUUUUUAAAAAAAAACGAUUAUUGUUGAUUCUACUGUCAACCACAAGCCAGCAACACUUGCAUCAAUGCUUCAAAAUAAUUUUGUUCUGUAGAGCCAGCGCAGCGCAAUCUGCCAGGCGAUGAUCAAGUGCACAGUCCAGUACAGUGCUACUGCGAAGCAAUCAUGAUUCGUACAUUUAACAUACAGUACUAUAUGGGGCGGCACAGCAUGAUGAGUGUGACAAGGGAGAACUACCGCCGGUUUAAUUUUUUAUUGGAGAUUCACUGUCCAAACGAGAUUGGUUUGCUUGAGCUUAUUAUUCGAAUUUAUCAGGAGAGGUAUCAUUGGCAGAGGAGCAGUCUGAAGAAGCCAUGGGGGCUGGACACACCUUUGAAUGCGAUUCUCAUAUGCAUGCUAAUGUUACCUAAGAGCAAUUGAGGACAACAAGUGGACAAGGCUGCGGGCUGCCUAUUUUCUAUACAGCAUACUCCUACUCAUAUCAUCACGAAAGAGUGUUGAAAGGACCAUGAGCAUGAAGCCCAUACUCCACAGGCAUAAGCCGCGUAACGGGCCAGUGAUCCGAUCACGCGCACCGUUGGUCGAGGCCGCGACGGCCUCCCUCGCCCUCAUGUCGCCGCCGUCGGGUGCCGAUGCGGCCCACGCCUUUUCGUCGUCCGCAGCCAUCGGGGCGGCUUCGCUACCGGGCGUACCCGUGUACCCUCCUAUUCCACUCUUCCACCGGGUUUUCACUGGAAACGCACACUUAGGGCCUGUUUGGCACAGAGCAAAGCUGUUUUUUUAGAAAAUAGCUUCAUAAUUGACUUUCUAGAUGAAGCUGAGCUGUUUUGAAAAAAGUGUUUGGCAAAAUAGCUUCACAAACUACUUCAUGCAUAGUUGAGAGAGAGAAAUAAGAGAGAGUUGCAAUAAGCUACUUUUUUUUCAGCUUCAUCCCAACUUAUGUCUUUGUGAGAGGAGGAGAAAAGCAGCUUCACCCAUGAAACUGUUUUAGAAAUAAAUAUUUGGCAAAAAAAACAGUUCACAAUAGCUCAUGAAGCUGUUGUGAGCUGUACCAAACAAGCCCUUAUAAGCCAACCUAUUACAGAUUCUGCUAAUAACUUUGACUCCUCAAAGCUCUAGCUAGCAUUUGUUGCAUAAUGCGAUCAACCUCCGAUCUUUGCAAUGUACGCUUCUCCCAAACAUUCACCAAAUUUCCACGAGCCACCUCGUAGAAAGAUGCAACCACAUUGCAUUUGAUCCACCCCACGAGCCGGUCGUUGCCAUCAUUGACGUCCAUGCAGUGCAGCCCUCUGGUCUUUUGGCGGAUGGAGCAUACCACAGAACAAAGGUCAUGUCUUUUCACCUACUGUACUGCCACCUGCACCGGGCUGUUUCUAGCCGGUUUGGUUCGAUGUGUUCAUGAGUGUGGCUCCAAUCCGAGUGGAAUGGCCUGGAAUGGUCUGAUUUGAGAUAAAUCAGGCCAUCCGAACAGCCAUUCCAAGUCGGUCAAUUAGGCCAAAAUAAUUUCUAGUGUAAUUGGACGUAUUCCAAGCCAAACUGAAUGAGACUUUGGUUUAUUGUCUUCGCUUUUGGCAAUAAAUUAUCCGUAUGCUGCCUGGAAGCAACAUCAAAGUGAAAUUUAUAAUAAUAAGUUAUAAAUCACAACUAAAAUUUAAAACGUAAAAAACGUUUUUUUGUCAAGCAACAUCAGCUAGAAGGUUGAUGUCUAUUUUCUUUUAGAUCCAGUUUAGAUUCUUGGAAUUAAAAAUCCAUUCUAAUAAUUAUAAUUUAGAUAUAAAUCAAUUAAACUAAUAUGGUUAUUUGUAGAAUAUUUAUGUGCUGCCCCUUUUGUUGUAGAGGAGUGAGCCGAAGAGCGUGCUAUAAGUUGCAAAACAGUAAGAGCAGCUCCAAGGGAGUUUGCAAAUGGGUUUUGCAUUUUAGAAUUUGCCAAAAAACUGAAAAAGAGGGGUCCAAUGGUUUAGCAUUUGAGUUUGACAUUUUGGGCAAGUUGGCAUUUGGAGGAGGAGAAUUGGCAAAAAUGCCAAACUUUCCUUGGCUUGGCAAACGGCGUAUCCGCGGGUUUCUCGUGGCCACGACGUACUCCCGCGCGGUGGGACUUUUCUUCGCGCCACAAAUAGGUUGCCGCGGUUCCUUCGCUUCUCCAGAUCGCGCGCGCCGCCUUGCAUCGUCCCCUCCCACGCCGCCGCCGCCAAACAGAUCGCUUUGACCGUCGCCAUGAACUCAAGGCAGCUCGUCGUCCCUCCCACGCCGGCCUUUGUCCGUACAGCAAUCCUGUUUGAUGGAGUUGUCGGCGGCAUCGUGGGCACCAAGUACGGGGAGGAUGACGAACAGGCACCUCCGGCACCUAGCUGCCCUCGGUCCCCAAAUGACGAUCUUCGGCGGAGAAGGACUGGACUGGAGAUCGGCGGCGAAGGACUGGAGAUCGGCGCGCGGGAAAACAAGAUCGCGGGAAAAAAGAAGACCGCGCGCGGCGCGAGGAACUCGUUCGCGCUAAAAAAAAUUGUUUGUCGGGUCUACCUAGACAAAUGCCAAGUUUGAUUUGCAAAGUCCCUUGGAGUACUCCUAUUUUUAGACUUUGCAUUUGUAUUUGGGACUUUGCAAAAAACCACAAAUGCCUACUCUAAAUGCCAACUUCCUUGGAGUUGCUCUAACAUAACAUAGUGAGCAGUUUUCAUCUCCCACUCUAUAAAUUUAAGUUAAGCUUAUAUCAAAAUUUUGAAAAGUUGUGAAAUAUCAAAUUCCAACCCAAAUAGCCUAGUCCAUUAAGUAGAUUUUAAUUUUCUCUAAAAUGAAAGGAUCCAAAGGUUACAACAUAGUUCUGUAUUAGCAAGGCAUGAACUAGGUACAAAGAAGAAAGAAAGCAACUCAUUUUUUUAUGGAAGGGCACAGAAAAGCAUUGGCAGGUUCACCCAGUAAUCAGCCAAGUACCCCAUCCAUUCUUUUUUACAUGCCGUAUUAGCUUUGUCCUAAGUCAAAUAUUUUUAACUUUAGUUAUCAAUUUUUAAAAAAGUAUAUGUUAACAACAUAAGAUUUACAUUCUUGGAUUCAAUAUGAAAAAUAUUAUCAUACUAUCACUAUGUAAUUUGCAUGUUGUAAAACCACAUGAAUUUUUUAAAAUUAAUGGUUAAAGAUGAAAAUAUUUAAUUUAAGACAUGGUUAAUACAAUAUGUAAAAAAAAGAUGGGAAGGAGUAUGAGACCGUAGGAGAAUAAUACACCACGAAACUUUGAACAAAUCCAUGGGUUUACAUAAAAAAAAAUUAAUACAAAACAAAGACCACCUUUCAGUUAAAAUAGUGAAGAUCAUCAACAUAAAAUUCUUCACCACGAAGAUAAAAAACAAUAGAAAGUUAUGAGUUAUGACUAGUCCAGACUCUAAAUCAUAUCUAGUCCAAGAUCCAAUUAGCCUUCUCAUAUUGUCAAAAACCGGAGGUUUAGUUGGGCCGGAUGUUUGAUCCUAGGGGCUGAUUUGGUUGCUAAUUUAUGCUAACUUGGUAGAACUGGAUGUUUUGUUAUAUAAUAUCAUAGCACAAUUUGUGCUAACUUGGUAGAAGUGGAUGUCCGUUAUAUAAAGUCAUAGCACAAUUAGGAGUGGGGAGGGGUGUUGUGUAUUUGCCUCCCACCUCUCUUGUGUCAGCUUAUUCUAACAUGAAAAAAAACAUUAUAGUGUCCAAAGAAGAUCUCACCAUUCACUCUUUGUGAGGCUUGUGCGAUUUGUCUAGAGACUAGGUGAUUGAGACAAGAGACAAACAGUCUCAUCCUUGAGCAAUUGUGGACUUUGUCAAUCAAUUUGUGAAGUGUUUGUUACUAUUGCGGAUGAAGCUUCCUUGAUGACUAGGCAAUGUCGAAUGAUCUUACAAACUCGUGGUGAGCCAUGAGAAGUUUAUGAAGAUUUUGAUUUGACUUCAUGAGGGAAGAAAUCAACUUAAUGGAAGGCAAAGGUUUGUAUUCAUGGGUACUUUGGAGAGCGUAAGUGGUUGAAAGAAACCUAACUCCCAUGGGAGCUCCUCAAUAGAGACUUAGGGUUCACAUAGGUCAAUCUGAACUUCAGUCUUUUUUGCUUUGUUUUUGUGUUUGUGUUGUGCAAUUUGACUUCUGGACGACUUAUCGCAAUUUACUUGUCCUUAUGCUUAUGGUUGUAGAUUUUGGGAGGAAUUAACUCACUACAUUUCCAACAACCCUUGGUAACAAGUAGAAUUAAUUAAAUAGAUAUAAUCCUUUGUGUUUUGUCUAGUCUAGAAUAUCUGACCAGUCUUCUUAUAUCGUCUAGACCUUGUAUCCGGUUUUAGCAAGUAAAUAUGCAUGAUUUGUAUUUUAUCAUUGCGUAGUACUAGUCAUCCACUAGAAACCCUAUAUGCCGUCAGUCUUCUUAUAUUGGACUAGACCCUAUAACGGGACAUCCAUUCCUAUACUUUUAGGUGACAGCCCUAUCAUGUCAAAAAUAGAUUUGUCUCAAGAUACUAAAAAAUAUUUAAAAGGAUUAUAGACUAUUUUUGGCAUGAUAAAAAAUACUGGACAAGCCGGAUGCAAACACUAAAAAAACUUUAUAAAAACCUAAAUAUUUAAAAGGAUUAUAAACUAUUUUUGAUUAAUAACUUUUAUAUAAUUUUAAUCAAAAUACCUUUUUCUCAAAUAUUUUUUAUGUUUUAAAUAUAUACAUAUAUACAUAAUUUGCAUUAAUUAACCAUUAUAUUUUCUCAAUUUAUUUUGAGUUUGUUAGAAUACUUUGAAGAAGUUGAUAAAUUUUAAUCUAGUUUUGUGAUUCAUUCUACUAAACAUUUUAGAAAAGAUAAAUGUUCUACUUCAUUUAUCUUCGGAGCUGAAAUUCAUAUUGGGCUUGUUAGCUCCCAUCACAUGAAUGUUUGACAGAACUCUGCAUCCAAUACCCGACGAGCUAUUUGGACUAUUCGAUUGGAUAUCCGCGCUAACCAAGAGACAGUGCCCUUCUCUUACAUAUAUCUGAAUCCGAAAAAGUAAUAAAAAAUAUCUAAAUCCAUAUCAGAUAUUGAAAAAAGAUGGUCGAACAAUAUAUUCUUGCUAUUUACACCCCUAGUACCCACCCUCAGGAUCUCGAAUUGACCAUGACGGCGGACGAAGUACGAGAUAGACGGAGGGAGUAUUUCUUUUCCUCCUCCCGGUAUAGUCAAGCAUACGGAGGAUACCAUCUUCUGGAAAUUGCUCAAGGAAAUUUGCGCAAUUUUUUGCACUGACAAAAGAGAGGAGCAGAAAAUUCUCAUUAUCAUCUGAUUAUCGAAGCCGUAGGAUAAGACAAGCACAAGGAUUCCAAACCUGAUUCGCGGACAAAAAAGAGCCUGCAGAUUCUUAGCGGCUUGUUGCGGCACAAGUGCUCCAUCCUGUUUCCGUGGUCCUGGGCCAGCACCCUGCAGCACUCCAUUUGCAUAUCGCCAACAGAGAAAAACUUUGGUAUCUCAGUGACAAGCACGUAAAACCUUUGUAUCUCGCCUUGUUUAGUUCCCAGAAAAUUUUGCAAAAUUUUUCAGAUUCUCCGUCACAUCGAAUCUUUAGACACAUACAUGGAGUAUUAAAUAUAGACGAAAAUAAAAACUAAUUACAUAGUUUGGUCGGAAUUGAUGAGACGAAUCUUUUGAGCCUAGUUAGUCCAUGAUUGGACAAUAUUUGUCACAAACAAACGAAAGUGCUAUAGUAUCUGUUUUGCAAAAAAUUUUGGAACUAAACAAGGCCUCAAUGACAAGCACAUAAAGAUGUCAAAUGAGAGAUCACAUACCUUUUAUUCUUGGACCACAAUUCCACAAACCAUUUUGUUCAAAUAUUUAGCUCAAGCAAUGAAGCAAACAUGGUCAUGAAUAUUCACGGCACACCUUGUCCAGCGGUGCUGGUAAAUAUUUGUGGCCAUGGAGAUGCGGCGAUAAUAUAGGCACUGUAUUAGGACAACAGUAACCAUAUGAACAGCAUAACAUUUGCUUAUCACACGAACUGAGACCAGCAAACUUAGUGCAAAUAAGACUUGACAUGGUGCUCGUUCAAUUUGCUUAAUGUGCACAGUGGAUAUAUAGCACUACACUACAUAUGAAACCCCACAAGGAACAGGACAAAUAUUUCAGAAUCCACGAAUUCUCAACAGGCCUAAGAUGCUAGUGACAUGCUAAACAGAGACCAACUACAGAAACAGACACAAAACCAGAUCUUUGAAAACCGGCUGGACGGAAGGUGAGGCCAAGAGGAUCAUGCAACCGAAAACAGUAAGGCGGUCAGCUGCAACACAGGUUAUGGAUUAGGCAGGAAUCUUGCCCAUAUCAACUUCCACCACUCAUUUGCAGCCACCAACUGUUCACCUCAGCGUGAGCUGCCGUCACCACACCAGAUACUACCAACUCUUCCCUCCAUCCACAAAACGGUGCUCACUUCUUCCCAUAGUCACCUUCUCCUUCCUCCUCUCCUCCCCAUUAAUCUCAUCUCUUUCAUCUUGCUGCCUCCGUGCUCGCCGACCCUCUCUUUUCCUCUUGCAACUCCCAUGUCUCAAUCUUCUCCUUUCUUCUCCAUUGCCCGAGUGCACGCUGGAGCAGGAGGGCGAGCUGCGGCAGCCGCUCUCCUGCUCCGUCGCUCCAUUUCUCAGCUGCCACACAGCAUUCAUGGCCUAAGGUGUUUCUCUUCAGCCAGAGUGACACCUGCCAAGACACUGCAAUCACACCUCAGCCUCCCCCGCGCCACACUGUCCUCUUUUGCCGAUGCCGAAGAUGGCUCCAGUGCCGAAGGCAGUGACAAGAAGGCUGGGGAGGAGCAGAUCGGGGAAUGCGAGAUGUCAGAGAUGGCGAAGGCGUUCCAUAUCUCACCACGGAUGGCGAUGUCGAUCUCUGUGAUGAUUGCAUUCGCCGCCCUCACUGUACCGCUGGCGAUGCGCUCACUGGUCUGCCAUGGAACCUUCAAAAUGAAUGCGCUGGCAUACUUUACGCUUCUGUCAGGGUUCUAUAUGGCAUGGAAUAUUGGGGCCAAUGAUGUUGCAAAUGCCAUGGGGACGUCAGUUGGGUCCGGAGCUUUGACACUCCGGCAGGCGGUGGUGACUGCAGCAGUGCUAGAGUUCUCCGGUGCAUUCCUUAUGGGGACCCAUGUCACCAGCACCAUGCAGAAGGGAAUACUGGUUGCGUCUGUCUUCCAAGGAAAGGACUCUCUGCUCUUCGCUGGACUGAUAUCCUCCCUUGCUGCUGCCGGUACAUGGCUGCAGGUAUGUUCCAUCGCCCUUUUGAGUUCUGCAGCUUUGCUACACCACGCCAAUCAGAUCAUGCAGUUUUCUAGUGGACAUGAGGAUCACGGAAUUACUGAGACUUCACCCAAUUUCUUCAGCCUACAAUACAGAAGGUUUAGGAAUUAGGAUAUACUAUCAGUGACAUGAUCAUGGCACCAAAACUGAUUGAUUAAUCUAAAUAUCUAAUAUGGAAAUUCAUAAUCCUUACACUCAUAGAAGCUAGUUAAUGUUUCCAAACAAAUCAUAGCGGCUAACUGCAUCUUUAAUAACCACUCUGCAAAGAGAAAAGAACCAGCAACUUAUCAAAUAUAACCAUCUACCUAUAUCAUGGUUUUAGGCUUCGCGAUGUCAAAAAUCUGAUAUGCCCAUGCUGAGAUUGGUUUAGUUAUAUGUGAUCAUUAUUGCAAACUGCACCUUAAGAGUAUGCGUUUCAUUUCCAACUUUCAGAGAUAACUCAUUGCAUAACAGUUGCCAACAUAGCAGCAAGGAACAUAUUUGAAGAAUCUUGCAUCUCAAGUUUGUAAUAAGUAGAAUGUGCAGAACUAACACAGUUUUAGUGUGUCAUCAACUGCGUUAACAUCUAAUAUCUAUGUAAGCAAUGAAGUCAUGAUUCACACAUAUGGGUAAGAAUCAAAAAUAAACACGAACAGCAGCUUCCAAAAUAGUUUUUUUCUUAAAAAAAAUCAUGAACCGAUGUAAUGUCUCUGCCAAUGUUUUGUUUUUUUUUUAUAAUCCUGAGAAUACAGGGUGCCAACAUUUAUAAAGAAUAAGAAGCAUCUAAUGCUAUUUAUAAGCAUCUACAUAUAUUAACCUGUGCUAUUUCUUAGGUUGCUUCGUCAUAUGGCUGGCCUGUCUCAACUACACAUUGUAUAGUUGGGGCUAUGGUUGGUUUUGGGCUGGUGUAUGGAGGGGUGAAUGCAGUUUUCUGGAGUUCUCUGGCUAGAGUAUCUUCAUCUUGGGUCAUUUCUCCAUUGAUGGGUGCAGCAGUCUCCUUUCUUGUUUACAAGUGCAUACGGAGGGUAAGUUCUAGUAUAGCCUCCCUUUAUAAGCUAAAUGACACAAAAAAAAGACAGUUGCAUUUCAAUACUUAUACAAAAAUGAUUAUAUAAUCAAAAUGUCAUAAGUACAUAGCAUAAAGAAUACUGUUUGUGACGAGGUGCAAAGGUUACUGACCUGUUUUCACUUAGUUUGUAUACAGCGCACCCAAUCCAGGCCAGGCUGCAGCUGCUGCUGCACCAAUCGCAGUCUUUGCUGGUGUCACUGCAAUCUCGUUUGCUGCUUUUCCUCUCAGUAAGGUGUUUUCCAUUGCCAUCCUGCAAGCAGUAUCCAGUGGGGCAAUAGGAGCCAUCAUUGUUUCCCGAGUGAUCAAAAAACAGCUAGGUGACUUACUGUCUUCAGAAGCAGAAAAGAUAGCAUCCACUGAGAAGUCAAAUGUUCAGCAGGCGGGACUUCUUUCGGACAUUGCUGGCCCUACAGGAGCUCAGUUGCAGAUUGUGUAUAGUGUAUUUGGUUACAUGCAAGUCUUAUCGGCAUGCUUCAUGUCAUUUGCUCAUGGAGGAAAUGACGUCUCCAAUGCCAUAGGGCCCCUGGCUGCAGCUUUGUCCAUUCUUCAAGGUGUGGCAAGCAGCGCUGAGAUAGUCAUACCUACUGAAGUUCUUGCUUGGGGUGGUUUUGGAAUUGUUGCAGGGCUUACAAUGUGGGGAUAUAGGGUGAUAGCAACAAUUGGCAAGAAAAUCACAGAACUAACACCUACUAGGGGCUUUGCUGCAGAGUUUGCAGCAGCUUCAGUUGUCUUGUUUGCAUCAAAGCUUGGGUUGCCUAUAUCUGCCACGCAUACACUUGUUGGAGCGGUGAUGGGUGUCGGAUUUGCAAGAGGGCUCAAUAGAGUCAGAGCAGAGACAGUUCGUGAUAUUGUGGCAUCCUGGUUGGUCACAAUUCCAGUUGGUGCUGUCCUAUCUAUCUUCUACACAUUGAUCUUGACCAAAAUUCUGGCAUACUUAAUGUGAGUGGAUUGUAAAAUAUAAGAGCUGCUUUUAAGUGGUACAGCCCAUUAUCAGUUUAUCACUUCAUAAAUUUUGAUCGGUGGAAAAGGUUUUUCUUUGCAAAAGUGAAGACUGAAGAGAUAAACUGAUUCCACAAGUUCAAUCAGAAAUUUACAAGAUUUUCCAAGAUCAAAUAAUCAUUUUCUUGGCAACUGAUCACAAUUAGGGAAAAGGUUUCCCAGCAAAUGAUCAUGGUACAGGCUCCAGAGUUUUUCAAUUUUUUAUACUACCUUGUAUGUCUGUCACAAGGUCGAAUACUGUAACUUCUUGUAGAGUUAUUAUACAUAUAGAUGUAAUGGUUGGUCAAAUUUCUUCUUGUAAAUUGUAAUCAUAUCACAAGACUUUGCUCAUUGCCAAUCAUCCUAGAAUAAGAGCUCCUUCCUCUGUAGGAAAUUAUAAGAUAAAAGCAAGUUUAAGAUUGACAAGAAUAAAAAAUUUUAGGUGAACAUUAAGAUUAACUUAUUAUACUAAACAAGCAAAUAACAGUUUGCAGUAAUUAUAACUAUGCCAUACUGUGUUGUACAGCCUGUAAUGAUGUCCAUUAAUAAGUAAAUGGGCUUUGGAUCAUCAAAUUUUGAUCAAAAUUUUACGUAAAGAGGUUCAGAAAAAGGAGAAUGGGGAAGAUGAGACACAAUGGGUUCGAUAUUCAUAACUUCAAAGUACGCAUACCAAAUAACACAGUAGACAAACUGGCCUUAUUAAAUUAGAGAACUCAAAACUAAAGAAAAUUUUUUUCGGUCAAGUGUAGAAAUUCAACAGGCAAUCAAAGAAAAUUAAUGGGGCACAUCCAGCAAUGCACGGCAACAGACACUUUACUAUAUUUUCAACUGCUAAGAGGACACUCAUAUAGUCCACCUUUUUUUUUAUAAGGAAUCCUCGAUGUGAAUGUCGAGGUUAAUGACACCUGACUAUGGCAAUACCCCUGUGUUACUAAUACUAUGCCAAAUCGAUAUUACUAAGGCUAUCUCCAACAGGAGAGCCAUUUGGGAACCCAAACCCAAAAUGGGUCUCCAACACAAUACCUAUAGCCUCCAACAGAGGACCCAUACAGAAGACCCACUUUGGGUAUCAGGAGAGGCAUAACCCAAAUUUGGGUAUCCUCUCUCCUCGAGACCCAUUUGCAGAGAGUGUUGUCUUUUAGGUCUUGUUGUUGGAGAAGACUAAAAAUAGGUAUGGAACCUUUUACCUGUAGCGCUACCCAAAGGACAAAUGGGUCUUGUAUUUUGGGUGAGGAUUGUUGGAGAUAGUCUAAUAGCUCCAUUUUUGCUCCUUGAUGUCUCUUUUCUGUUCAGCAAACCAAAAUCUUGUGCUUCCAAAUUUUCAUAUAGGAAGUUUCGACCAGAAAAGAAAUAGAACAAUAUAAGAAACUUGACAAGGACCUAUUGGUCUUGGCACAAACAAUAAAAUGGCAAGAAGUAGCAGUAUCUGGCACAGAUAGAGCAAACUAGUAUAGCAUUUAAAUUGGACCCGAUUAAUCAUCUAGUAAUUUCAUACACAAGGUCCACAUGACAAGUGCUCAGAUCCUGAGAACAGACAGCAGCAGAAUAGGGUUACACAAUACAUCCAGAUAGCAGGAGCGACUCGGGGAUUGCGAAAUACAGACUGGGCAGCGGAGAUGGCGACGCUCCAGGAAGCCAGCGAAGCACGGGGGAAGCCGCCUGGGUCAACCGGUCUCCUGGUCGAAGUCGUCGCCGUCAGACUCCUCGACGUUGUCUGCAUCGUCGUCCUCCACCUCAGCGUCGUACUCCUCCUUGGUGUCGCCCGUGGGCUUCCCGAUGAUAACCAGGUGGCUGUUGGUCUUCCGGAUCUCAUUCAGCUGAGCACCGAGCAAAGGGAGAAGCAAAUGGAAGCGUCAGUCACCCCCGUCGGCAUCGGGAGCGUAGGAGAAGGGGCAAGGGAAUAGAGAGAACCACAGCACCUUAUCCUCGAGGUCGGACUCGGCCAUGGCGAGGAGAAGCUCGUCCUCCUGUGAAGUGGCUGGCACGGGGAGCAGCGUGGACGCCGGGAUCAGCGGCGGCGACGGCCACUGCCGCAUCAGCGCCGGGAACUGCAGCAUCUCUGCUCUCAGUUUGCGGCCGCCGCAGCUGCAACCGCAACUUCGUUUCAGUUUGGAGGAGGGGAAAGGGACCUGGAGCGGCUGUUGCGGAAGCCGAAGCCCUCAACUGAUGAGUGCAAAUAAAAGGCAAGUCAAAUCAUAAUCUACUUCCUUCUUCUUACUGGGCUGAACUGGGCUUUCGUCUCGGUGCGCCGCUGGCCGUUGCCGGGUCGUGCAAAUGGACCAUACGGCCCAUCGUAGCUGCCAAUCCUCGAGUCCGGAACACGCGGGCGUUCACUCCAAACCUCGGAUAAAAUUUCCCCGUUUCCCGGUCCCGUCGUCCCGAUACCGAAUCCUCCGAGACUCCCUCUUCUUCUCGUCUCCCUCCGUUCCGUUCGCGCGUCACCGAUCCCGCCAACGGGAACGAACGAGAACGAUCGCCGUCGUCGUUGUCGCCGGCUCACCACCGCCGCCGCCAUGGAUCCGACGCCGCAGUCACACCCGAUCCUCAACUACGUGCUCUCCCGCCUCCCCUCGCUGCCCGCGGUGAGGACGCCGCGGUCCGCGCCCGAGCGGGACCUCGAGCAGCCGUCCCCGCGCAGGCCGUUGGGCGCCGCGGAGAUCGACCUGGUGGGGCGCAUGCCGGGCCUGCGCCACCCGUCCGUGCUCUCCGCCAUGACCCGCGCCGUCGCCGACGUCGCCUCGGCGCGCGACGCGAUCGACCUCCUGGGGCCCCGGCCCGACCACGAGCAAGUCGACGCCGCCCGCGAGCUCCUCCUCCUCGCCGACGCCGGGGACAAGGCGGACGCCGACGAGGAGGAGAAGGCGAAGGAGCUCGACGAGGAGAAGGUGGCCGCGAGCCGGGAGGUGGUGCGGCUGGACAAGGAACACGAGGCGUACGAAGCCCUGCUGCGGGCCGCGGAGGAGAAGCUGGAGCACGUGUACCGGAUGGCGAUGCACGGGAGGGACAUCAAGGAGGCCGGCGGCGGUGAUGCCAAAUGGGAAGAGCGGUCCGGGGCGGUCGACGAGGAGGUGGUGCGGGUGCUCAAGGACGCGGAGGAAGGGAAGGUGGUGGAGAGGGUGAACCUCGCCGACCGGCAGCUGCACCUACUGCCGGAGCCCGUCGGCCGGAUCCGCGGCCUCCUCGCGCUCGACGUCUCCCGCAACCGGCUCAAGGUCAGGGACUCGUACCUAAGCAUUCACGCCGUAUGACUACACCGUGCAUUGACGCUCACAAAUUUUCUGAAUGAAUUAUUGACAUUGGUCGAAUGGAGACAGUGCAAUAUUGUAGUGAUAGAAAUGCAUUAUCUCUUGCACAUUGCGCGAAAUUAAUUUUUCUGUGGAAUUAAACUGAUUUUAUGAAAUUCCUAACCCGACUCGCAUGAAAUUUCGUACGGCUUCUGUAAAAUUCUCGCGUUCAAACGGAUCUAUCUAAACAACACACAUGUUGCAGUUUACGCACGAAUCCCUUAUAUUUCGCGUCUUCAUCAGUGUUGUUCCUUGAAUUCGCAGGAGGUUCCCGAUGCUAUUGGUGGGCUCGAACACCUGGAAGAACUCCGUCUCGCUUCCAACGACUUGGUUUCUCUCCCGGACUCCAUUGGCCUUCUCUCCAAUCUCAAGAUCCUCGAUGUCUCUGGCAACAGGCUGAGGGUUCUGCCUGACACCAUCUCGAAAUGCAGGUAAUAAACAGCCAACCAACCAUUGUCAUUUCUUGUUCCAGCAAGAAACGCUUGUGUUGUGAUAGACUCGGAGCUUCAGAUCGCUGAUGGAGCUGGACGCGAGCUACAACGCCCUGGCGUACCUCCCGACAGGCAUCGGGCACGAGCUGGUGCACCUGCAGACGCUGCGCGUGCACCUCAACAAGCUGCGCUCCCUGCCGUCGUCGGUCUGCGAGAUGCGAUCGCUGCGCCUCCUGGACGCGCACUUCAACGAGCUCCACGGCCUACCGGCCGCCAUCGGCCAGCUGUCCGCGCUGGAGACGCUGGACCUGAGCAGCAACUUCAGCGACAUGCGGGACCUGCCGCCGUCGUUCGGCGACCUAGCGGGCCUGCGCGAGCUGGACCUGAGCAACAACCAGAUCCGUGCGCUGCCGGACUGCUUCGGCCGGCUCGGCAAGCUGGAGAGACUCCGCCUGGACCAGAAUCCGCUCGCCGUGCCGCCCCCCGAGGUGGUCGCCGACGGCGUCGUCGCAGUGAACGAGUACAUGGCGAGGCGGUGGGCCGAGGCCGUCGCCGAGGAGGAGCAGCGGCGCGCGAGCGCGGCCGCCGUGGCGGAGAGCCCUAGGGUGUCCACGCCCAGGGAGUGGCUGACGCGGAGCGUAUCUUCGCUGAGCACCUGGGCGGUGAAGGUUGUCGGGCAGGACAAGGUGGACGAGGAGGACGAGUUCCUGCAGCAGCAGUUCUGAAGGUGAGCUGGCACCACCGCCGGCCGACCUGACCCAAACAAUCAGACCUCAUUCUCAUUUGAUUGUUUUUUCAAAUUUCAUUCCUUAUAUUUCUCUCGAAAUUGUAACUACUUUUAUCGGUUUAGGUGAUUGCUUUUCAAAUUUGAUUGCUUAUAUUUCUCUCUUGGAAUUGUAACUACUUUAUCGGUUUAAACGGGAUCUUGUGAAUUAUAGUACUGUUGUGCCACUUCUACGAAUUAUGAAUAUUUGUUCUUUCGUGGCUGCACAGUUUAUCCGUGAUUACGUACGUGUAGCUGUAUCACUAUUAUAACUGCUCCACAGAAACGAUUUACCAGGAGCAGAAAAAACAAGCAGCAGGUCAAGCGAUAAUACUCUCUUCAUCCCUAUUAUAAGACAUUCAAUCUCAAAGAGUCGAAACAAAGUUUAACCAAAUUUCUAAAGUUUCACUAAAUUUAUAUAAUAAUAACAUUUAUGAUGUCAACUAAGUAUCAUUAAAUUUCUCAUUAAUUAUAUUUUCAUAUGAUAUUUAUUUAAUAUCUUUGACUCUUCAAAACUCUUAGAAUAUCCUAUAAUUUGGAACGGUUGUAAUUUGGAAUGAAGGGAAUACAUUAUAAGGGCGAGAGCACAAGCAUCAAACAUUGGUCCACGCAUCAUAUCAUACAAGCAGAAGCAGUAUACCUGGGGCAUGCCAAGGUUUACUACUGAGGCGCACGAGCGCACAUACUAGAGUUCAUCGACACCGCACGCACGACAGACACAUAAAGAAAUGCUGAGGCACACGCGCACAUACUAGAGUUCAUCGACACCACACGCAAGCACGAACAGUUCACCAUAAGCAAGCUCUGAGACGCACUAGGGCUGCACCACAAUGGCACAGCCGUCUCAUUAUUUACCCAUAUAUACUAGGUCUAGAUAGCUAUGUGCACACAGCGCACACUGGCACACGAUCUUCACUUGUCCUUUUUCUCCCUGGCAAUCAGGUCCAUCACAGCUCGCUUGAUGCUUCCUCCGUUCUUCGCAAGCAGCUCCUUGUUCACCUCUGUGUCAUCAAAUCCCUAGGACAUAGGACAACAAAUCAUGAAGCUUGUAGCAAGUUGCUGGAACUAUACAGAAUAAGGCAGAGGCAUAUGUCUUACCAUCUCUUCCAACUCUGCAAGGAGUGGAUCCCAUUCAUUGACGCCACAUAGGUCAUCAACAGACUGCUCCAGGUUGUAAUUGUUCUGCCUAAGGAUUUCUUUGUUGAGAUCGAUCUGCCUAAAGCCCAUUUCCUCCAGCUCCCUCAGCAACUUCUCCUCAUUGUGAACAUCUAGGUCGGACAGCUCAGGAACCACGGCACUAACAGGUGGAGGCGCAGGCACAGCCCCAGAUGCAGACACAGGGGCAAUUGCAGGCGCAGAUACUGGAGCUGACAUAGGUAUAGUUGUAGGCAGCACGGGCAUAGCAGGUGAUGGUGUAUGAGUUACAACUUCAGGCAUAGGCACAUUAACAGAGGGCACAAAAGCAGCAGCAGGUGCACUGGACAUGGGAACAUCACCGGUUGGGUUUGCAGGAGCUGCUGCAGACGAAGAGGUAGCAACCAACGUGGCAGGCAGAGAUUUCUUGGGCCCAGAAACAUCAGUUGAACAGAAAUGGAACUCUUUUGUGCGUUUGGCAGUAAGGGCUGAGUCAACAGGCUCAAUGUUCACAUCAAUUAAAUUGGUUGUGUUUGCACUAUUGCUCUCUGGAGGCAGGUUCAGAUUAAUAGCAGCACUCCUGUUAUUGUCAUUAACAAAAGAAGGGUCUUCCACCUACAGAUACAGUUGCAGUUCAGAACAUCAGGCGACAUAAGAAAAUUAUCAGAGAGUAAACAACCAUAUUUUGGAUAGCAGUGGGGUAACAACCUGGAUAUGAACCCAAACUCGCUGACCAAAUUUCUGACCAGAAGGUGAAGCCAACCUCCAGUAUGAUAUGUAUCUCCCUGGCCUUCUAGGUGCCACAAAAUCAACAGCAACAUCAAUCUCUUUGUCCACAGGAAAGCCAUCCACAGGAAUCUGCAUAACCAACAAAAAAAAAACCCUCCAACUAAGAAUUUCUUCCAUUUCUACAAUCUGCAGCCUAAUUUGCAAUCAAAACAGCAAGCAGGUACCUCUAACGGAACAGAUGACUGCAAUGCAAACUGAUCUCCACCAACCCAGAUAAGCUGUGUGCCAAGUGGCCACACAACAGACCCAUUGUUAUGCAUGCGCCAAAUCUUAGUGAACGAGGUAGAAGGUGUCAUCAGUGUCCCAUCAAGGACAGUUACAUCCAAAAUGAAGCGACUUUCAAGUUUCUCCCGUUUUGACUUCAUUAGAACCCGUGUGUGGUGCACCUUUCGGGUCUUUGAAGGAAAAAAAAAAUCCAAUCAGUUAUUCUGAUGAGGAACUUUCAUACAAAAAGUGUACUCCAUGAAGAACGAGAUAGAGGUACCCACCGCAUGAGGAUCUCUGAGAAACUUGUGGGGUGAAAUAGGUUUGUCUAUUUUGGUGUACUCCAUUUCAUUUCCCAUGCGUUGGAAACAGGAAUCACAUAAAUCAUAGUCUUCCUUCCUGUAGGGCAAAUAAGAUGUCAGAGCUAACAUCAUCAAAUACAACCAAAAACAUAUUGAAGUAGAAACCUAUUCAGGGCCUUACACAUUAGAUUUAUAACGCGGACCAACAAUUGGUUGCACUCCACAACCAUCACACUGAAUCCAUCUAUGCAGACUACGUUGUGCUGAGUUUUCCAUGUUACCAGCAAGAUCUCCGUAUGGAUGUCCCGAAGACAAGAGGCGGCCUGGAUAAGGAAAAUGUGGAGAAGGUCCAUAGCCUGGAGGUGGCACUGCUGGAGGAGGUGGUGCAUAGGGCAUUUUGUACAUUGGAAUGCGCCAUCUAGAAUCACUAGUGGCUUUUGCAUUGUCUUCAUAUUGCCAUGGGUGUUGUAAACUUCUUCGUGGUCGGGACCAUUCUGAAAUGCAUGGAGGCGGCGGAGGUGGGGCAUGAGUAGGUAGAGAGUAAGGGGCAGGUUGGGUAAGUGAGGACAUAACAGAUUUUCCCUUACUUUGAGCAUCAGUCUUCCCUUUGCAGACAGGUUUGUCUACUGAAUUACGGGGGAACAGCAACUCCUCAACAGAUGGGUACAUUGAUGGCUGUUGAACUUGAGAAGCUCCAGCAUUAGGAACAGGAGAAGCAGCCUCCUUGAACACAGCCCUAAGACCCAAACUUGGCGUAACUUUGGGCUCAUUUUUAGCUUCGGCCGGCACCGGUGCCGGUGCCGGCGCCGGUGUCUGUGUCACACCACUGGAAGAGGUAGAUGACCCCUCAGCAUGCACAUCAGAUGGCCCAUUGCCAUUAUUGUUUGGUGCCAUCAAUUGUGCAAAAGGUUUCAUCAACUCAGCUAAUGGUGGUGGUGCUGCAUCAAGUAUUUCAUGAGAAAGUUUUGCAAGGGCAUCAGGUAUUGGCUCUGGGACAGACUUGAUUGCUUCACCAAUAGCUGAUUUUAUAUGAGCAAGACUAUCUUCCUGGACAGGCUUCAAAAAUUCAAUAGCUGACAUUAUCUGGGAUAGUGAAUCCUGAGUAAUGGGUUUCACAGGUGCAGAGACAUCUUUUUUAUCAGUUGGUUGAUUUUUCUUCAGUUGAACAGUAAUCCUCAGAGGGUUUAAUUUCUGACGCAGAGCUGCAUCACGCAAGUCAUCAUCAUCAUCUAGCAUGACAAUAUCCCCAUCCUCAUCAGUGUAAGUCAGAAUGAAGUCAGCAUCAGAACCAAACUUAAAGGCAGUAGCUAUCUUUGCCCGCAGAGCAGACAAAUUCAUGUCAAAAUGAUUCCCAUUGGCACAACCAUAAAACCUUUUGAGAGUAUCACCAUAUUUGACCUGAUUAAAUAUCAAAAAGGAAAAUAUCUGAUAAGUUGCAAUCGAAAGAGACUCAUAUAUCACAGGACUUAAUAAAAAGAUGAAUCAUUUUGCAAACAUUAGUAGUAGUAGUAAUAAUAAAUUAGUAAUAAUAAUAAUAAUAACAGAAGAUAACAUCAAAACAGUGCUAUGAGAAUUAGCCUAAGACAGAACAUAAAUCAUAGAUAAGUUGUGGACACAAAAGCUUGUUAAUUUGAACUCCUGAGACCUAUGCUCUCUAGCACCAACAAAGUCUUUUUUAGUCCCAAGCAAGCCAUGGUAGGCUAAGCUGUUAGUGGGAACAGAAAUUAGUUAGGACAAACCUGUGUAGGAACAAAGCUCUAAUCAGAUGUUUUGAAACUAAUAAAAAGAACAACAGUUAAGAACAGCCUAGGUAAACAUACACUCCCUCUAUUUGAAAUUAUAAGACGUCUUGGCUUUUCUAGAUACAUAGCUUUUGCUAUGCACCAGAAACAAUGUAUCCAGACGUUUUGCUUUUCACUAAACUGUCCUUCCUUUCCAUACCCUUCUGUGUUUCAACCAAUUCUAGAGAAACUGAUCUGAUUCUGGUAUCCAAACAGCCCCUUAGUUUAAUUUCUCCAACACACAUGUGAAUCCAAAGUUCCAAACAAGCCCUUAAAUGGUGGAAUCAUACAAAUGAAACAAAUUCAUCUAACUGAAGGGCAACUUACUAUAACGUAUGAUGCACGGUAGUCAACACAAUCACACGGACACCAGCAAAUUUAUCGACCAACAGUGUUUAACAAACAUGUGUAGGGCUGGGAAGUAGUGUGAAAUGUUAUUCAACCUUAUUAUUUUGAAACAAUUACAUGACCGAAACCUCAUAUAAACAGAAGAAAAGAAGCAAGUUCUACAAAUUAUAAGUCAGGGUACAUGUAGGAACAAAAAA
rnacentral:lncRNA from 1 species